CUUUCUUUUCUCUUUCUAGAGCUGGUGAGAGAGUGGUCGUUCAAAUCCUGACAAACUAUCGCAAUGUUCCCUUUUAAAGCACCUGAAUCCUGAAAACUCUUUUCUUAAUAUCUUUUGCAAAGACUGACUCACCACAUCAUUUUUUUCUAGACACUCACCUACUGCCCCAUGAAAGACUAGUACCGUUACAUGUGUCGACUCACCUUCUCCCCUCUGAGGUUCGUGACGCCUCUGAGGAGUAGGUAGCAUACCGUUAGGGUUACAAGAAAACCGGGCUCUAAUACUAGUUGUCAAACCCCACCCUAGGAGUCCCAGUCAAACCACUAGUUCAACCGAUGAGUCUUACUCAGUUUUUAACUUGAACCACACUCAACUCUAGGCUACUAAUAAAAACAUUAAGACAAGCAUUAACAGCUUAAACUGAACACUUCAAUAAAAUUGACAAACUAGGAUCCGAAAUCCCAAAACACAACAAAUCAAAAAGAGAUGCAACUCCAGUUUAAAAAUACAUAAAAAUUAUAUCCUCUAAUAUAUAAAAACCAACCAGCUUUCUCCCCUCCAUCAGCUCCAAUACCUGUGACUGAACACAUAGAUAUGCCAAGAAAAACAAGUCUAAUGGGGUUAGUGAUAACCAUUGAGUGGCUAAACUAGGCUCGCAUAAAACUGCAACUAUACUAAGAAAAUAGGGCAAGAAUCAAGUAAUGUGACUCUGCGGUCCUGUAGGGAUCAUCCUAUCAAUAGUCACCCCUAACUAGUAGCUGAUAGCCUCAUGAAGGAUCAUACCAUGAAACCACCCGUUGAUACCGUGUGAGCAGCAUCUGUACGCAUACUCCACACAUCUUGCAUGACCGUAGAAACAUCCUGGGGGAUUUUGCAAUCCAUGGGUGGGUGACCAACACACAUAAGGAGCUAAUCUAGCUAAAUCUGAAUUUUGUCCUAAGCAUGAACUGUGAACCACAGUUCAAAUGUCAUGAGCUUAUGCUCGAACUUAAACAACUACCUGUUCAGUAGAUCACACGCUACUGCACAGUGUAUGAGCCCGACUCUGUUUCAUAACCCAUGUAUAGUAGAUGACACGCUAUUGCACAGUCUUGAGAGCCCGGCUCCGAAACACAACACAUGUACCGUAGAUCACACGCUACUGUACAGUCCUGAGAAUCCGAUCAUCGCAUUCCUGACAAUCCUAAUUACAGUUAUAUGCUUAAGUCAAAAAGUAAUCCUAACCCUCACCUAUUAAGAAGGGAUGGCAUUUCUGAUUCUCACUUGACAUGAUUCCUCUCACUGCCACUAAUCUAUAGCUUCUGACCGUGCAUCAUUUGGAGUUUAACCAAUUGAGUUAUACUCCAUUUACUUGUAGCAAUCUGAAACUUGCUAGGACAGAAACGUGGCGCUAAUCCUCCAACUGCCUCCAUUACACUAACUGAUCCAAAACUUCUACUCAUUGACAAAACUAACCCAAGUCCUUAACUAUAAAACAUCCAAAAGUUCAAAGUUGCUAAAGGUCCUCAACGCGUCCUACACACCACCAAAGCCGUUGCACCCUUGCCGAACGCGGAUGGCGCCACCGCUACUGCUAUUCCUAAAGCUCCGCCUUGAAUCUCCUCAAUCUCCUCCGAAAUAGUGAUCGGCACCGCCACAACUCCAUCCUCGUUUGCCCUCGAUCGAUGGAAUUCAAAAUCCUCACCUCUUGGCGUCAAAACUAAUGGCAACAAGUAACUUACCCUGCUCAUCGUCUCAGUGCAUCACCAGUUAGAUCAUGGAAGGGAAGUUAAACCAUUCUCCCACUUGAUGGUAAUGGGGCCCAACUCCACAAUCUGAUCCAUCAUACGGCCCAAGGCCCACCUCAACUUUAAUUGGACUCAAGGCCAUAAUUUAAGCCUAGGGUGGCAGUCCUCACCCUUCACUUGAAUGGUUCAAGUCCUAUCCAGAGCUAUAAAAUCAAUCUAACGGUCUAGAAAUCUUCGAGUUCAUAACUAACAAUUCACAGGCUUAACCCCUCUUCUGAUGGACUUAGUCAACCCAAUAACUAUCUCGAGCCUUACAAAUCUUUAAUACUUGGUCAAUUGCUGAGUCAACUCAUCAAAUUAAUUAAAUUAAUUCAUUUUUCAACUUCCGACUUCUACUCAACGAGUAAGUUUUGAAUCAAAAAAAAUUUUAACCGAACCAAAAAUUGAGGUGUCACAAUUGUCUACAGUAUGCUUAGCUUAUACAUGUGAUGGUUAGACAGUUAUGUUCAUGUUUCUACUUGAUGAUGUGAAAUUCAUUAAACUAAGAUAAGUUGUUAAACUAUAAUAAGUCCUUAAAUUAUGAUAAGUCAUGUUCAUGAGAUCCAUGUUAUGGCAUGUCUUUUUUCCAGGAUUAAUGCUCCCAUUAUGUCCAUCAUAUUCAUGUUACGGUUAGGUAGUUAUGUCAUGUUAUGUAUUAUUUAAUGAUGUGCAAGUUGUACCCUCGAAUUAUGAUAAGUCAUGUCAUGUCUCCCUGAUAAGGGUUUAUCUCAUUUUCAUGUGAUCCAUGUUAUGGUUAAGUGGUUAUGUCAUGAUAUGUUGGGUUAUUACAUGAUGAUGUGCAAGAUGUGCCUUGAAUUAUGAUAAGGCUAGACUACUUCAAGGUUAGGGUGUGAUAUGUCUACAUGACUAGUGAGUAGUGAAUAAGUACACGUUACUUAGACAAGUAAUGUGUAUUAGAAACAUGUAACUUUCUGGCUAGACCACCACCCCCUAUGUUGUGAUCUCAUGGUACCGUCUGAUGGAUACAUACUCACGGACUCUCACGUUCACGUUUGGGCCGGUAUUGCCCCUCAUGUUACCGUCUGACUGAUACGUACUCGCAGACUCUCACGUUCAUAUUUGGGCUGAUAUUGCCCCAUGUUUCUCACGUUUGGGCCACAUUUUUCCCCUUAUGUUACCGUCUGAUGGAUACAUAGUCCCAAACUCUCACGUUCACAUUUGGGUGUUGGACUAGUUAGUUGAGUUGGGGGGGGACGUCCCGCUAUUGAAAGUUCAAGUGAUAAGAUACCUCAGAUAAGUUCAUGUACAAGUAUGUCAAGUUCAAGGGAUAAGAUAACUUAGAUAAGAUCAAGUAUAAGAUUCAAUGUUAUGUGUUUUCAUGUUCGCUAAGUGAUGUUGGUGAUAAUGACCACCUGAUAUGAUAUGUUCAGUGAUUGUCAUGUGCUGAUGUGUUGUGAUAUGUUCAAAUGUUUCUUAGAUGUGAUAACUAUGUGUUGGGAUAAAUAUUCAUGUAAUGAUGUGUUCCUUAUGUUCCAAUGUGCCAUGGAUUUGAUGACUAGUUGUGAUCAAUAUUCAUGCAGUGAUGUGUUCCUUAUGUUCCAAUGUUCCUUUAGAAUGGAUUAGAGGUUCAACCUUUGAUGAUGACUAUGUUACUUGCCAUGUUGAGUUCUCAUGUGUUAGGAUUACACAAAGAUGGAUACUAUAUCUUAUAUGCCUACUUAGCUAGUAUCAAUGAUGCCUUAUACAAUGAUAUGUUUUUGUCUUCCCUAUGUUCUAGCAUGAUACUCAUGUUAUGUGUCUACAUAACUAAGUCAGAAUAUGUUGUGGUUAGAUAACUAGAAAGCAUGUCCCUAAGUAAAGGCAAUGUUUGAAUAUAGCAAUGUCUGAUUAAGGUGAUGUCUGAAUAAGGUAAUGUCUGAUUAAGAUGAUGUCUGAAUAGUUUGAUGUCUGGAUGAGUUGAUGUUUGAAUAAUUUUGAUAUUGUUAAACUUAAGUUGGAAAUCAUAUGUGUUAUAUUAGAGCAUAAUAGACUAACCCCAGAACCACCCACUAGGGUGUUUCUAAGUUGAUGCAGUAGUAGAGUUGAGCUGAUUCGGAUGUGCAGCGAUGGACUUGGUAUUCAAUGUCGGGUUUGAGUUUCAAGUGUUUAUUCUGAGACUUGAUUCUUUUCAUGUUGUCUUAUGUUGGAGCACUCUCCGCUUUUGUUAAAGCAGAUGAUCAUUUUCUAUCUUUUUGGUUGUUCUAUUUAAAUAAAGUUUUUGAAAUUCCUUUGAGUUGAGUCCCUAUAGGGCAAUUUGGUUAUUAAAUAAAUAGAAAGUUUUUGGGGUGUGUCACAAGCGCCCGCGACAAAGAGUAAAACCUGCGACCAUUGUAUGAGCGCUAAUGGAUUUAUUCAAACGUUGUCGCAGUCCGCCUAAAACAAGAGCUCGACUGCGAUAAACAUAGUGAAUGACUACCCUUCAGCAGCCGAUCUCCACUCAUUCCACACAGCUUCAACUCUCCUCCCAUCUGAAAUCCUCCUAUUCCUCUCAAUUUCCUCCAUCGAUUUUCUCCUCUUCUCUUCUCCAAUUUUGUCACCCCGACUUCCACCCUUUUCUCGAAAUCGCCAAUAUCAGCUUACUGUUACUAACAAGAAGCAUAAGAGUUCGAUUUUGAUAUAGUUGUGUCGGGCAAUCGCAUUGUGUUUGAGUUGAAGAAUCAGGGGGUUAAACCUGUAGGUCCACUUCAUUCCUUCAUGGGAUACUACAUAAGUGAGUGUACAAGAAAUUAUGCUUACUACCCGGUCUCUCCAAUCGAAUGGAAGAAGUUGUCGCCCCAAUUGAAGACACGGGCUUGGGAGCAGUUUGUGCUAGUAAGUAUUAUUUUAGUUUUUUUAAUUAGAUAUAUUUUUGUAGUUAAAAUUGUAACUAGUUAGUGCUUAAUUGAUUUAUAUUAUAAACCUCUUUUCACAUUGAGGCGAAUGAGAUGGUUGAAGCUCGCAAAUAUUGGGAUCGCAAUGUUGGAAGACUGUUGGGGGAAGUCAAGGAUCACAAUUUGGCAAGCUUAGUUGAAGCAUGCACAAAUAAACCAACUCCCUCCAUAGUGGAUUAUGAAUAAUUCCUUGACAGGUUGUCCAAUGGCUGAUUGGAUAACGUACUUGUUGCGAGUUAACGACAAGUAGUUCGAGAUAGUACAUAUAUUUACAGAUUUCUAAUUGUAUUUGAUUGUAGUUUUUAAUACCGACUCAAGAACUUUUAUGUGCUUGAGUCAUAUCAAAUCAAGCCGCUCAAAUGGAAAACCAUAAAGGAGGGAGAAGGCCAUGUGAUACAUAUGUCAAGGAAACCAUUGAGAAGAUGGGUAAGCCACCUUCUCUACGCCAGAAGUUCAUAAAGUUCUUCCACUAACUAGAUGGAAGUUACAAAUCAGAACAUGGAAUACUUGUGGUGGUAAUGACUAGUUUCCAUAUAUAUAAUAGAUAUAGCUUUAAACUAGAAGACAAUAGAAUUAAUUGAACAUCUGUUAUGUAGGAGACUAUCAGCAACUAGAGCGGGAAGGAGCACCGACUGAGGUUGGGCCUAAUGACUCAUUGGCUCAAACACUAAACAAGCCAAAGCAUCGAGGCCACGUUCGGAUGAUGAGUUUGGGGUUUACCCCACAAUGGUAAUAAUGUUCAAUUUCAAAUUUGUUCUUUCUUGGGUCGUUAGUGUUUGUACCUUGUUUGGUGAUAUUUGUACUGUUUUUUCUUUAAGGUAUUUGGUGGUGCUAGCACUUGUUCAUCAUCAUCAUCAGCUCCUUCUGCCUCUGGGAAUGCAAGUGUGUCCUCAAAUGCUGCUCCUAGUGCUCCCCCUCCCUUACGAGAAGAGUUUGAUUGGAUGUCGUAGCAGAUGGCAUUGAUGUUGCAACAGUUGGCUACAAUGUAUUACAUGAUGUCGUCGGAGCUCGCCGGUGCUUUUACCUAAGUUUUGACUCCUGGGAUAGUUCCUGGUACUCCAUUCAAUCCAAGUCCUCUAUAUCUGUAUUAGGAGCCUAUGCAGCAGCAACAACCAUCUCAACAAUAGCAACAAGCUCAUGAGACCAAUCUUAUGGGUUACUUCCCAUUCUCUCAAGAAGCCAAAAAUCAGUUUCGCCUUCAUGGGAUGAUGGCGAAGCCUUUUCUUCCCUUCUUCAUACAUUAGAAAGAGUGAGUUUUAUAAUUAGUUUCUUGAAAUUUCAAUUAGAAUUCAUGUUUGUACUUACUUGUGUUUUUUAUGUUUAUAUAUAGGUCCCCAUUCCAGACACGAGGGAGCAACGAGAUGAUGAUGAUUGUUCGUAGUUGUAUUUCUAGUUAGUUCUAGCUCUCUCCCCAUCCCUAUUCCCAUAUAUUAUGUAGUAUUUGAAACUUCUAAGAUAGUUUCUUAAGAUAAUUUCUUAACGUUUGCAUAUUAAUGUUUGUUAUUGUAGUUUGGAAUUAUUACAUGAGAUGGUAAUUAUGGAAUUAUUAUGUGUUAUUAUGGAAACCUAAAAACUGCUCUAAAUUCUAAAAUUCUGCUCUAAAUUCUAGAACAUUGAAAAAGCUCUAUAACUGCAAAGGUAGAUCAAUUUGAAAGUGAUAGGUGGCACCAUACCAGAAUAGACACAUCUCCAGCAUUAUUGUAAUAGGCUAGUCGCAGGCCCUUUCUCGCAAGUGUUGACUACGAUUGGCCGGUCACUGGUAGCGCCUGUGAUAAAGCGCCUACAACCAGCCAAUCGCAGCCAACGGCUACGACAAGGCGAGCUUUGUCACAUCAAUAAUUGUCGCAUGCCUAUUUCUAUUUGUCGCAUGCACUGUAUGUAACCAUCCUUCUAUUUUAUGGCAGGCUGGCCUGCGACAUUGUUUUGUUUUUGCUUGUGACUGUUUUCCCUUUUUAUUGCAGUGUAAGUUAUACACUUUCAUGCAUUAUUACGUGUUGAAGAUGGAUUCUAACGUGAUUUUGAAAGCUCCUAGACCGAAACGAGUGACCAUUUAGUUUGAUUCUUUUAGUAAUGUGUAAAUGAAAAGUCUACAUGCUAAAUAUAAAUUCAUAAAUUUGUUCUCAAUAAUAAAAAGUUUACUAGUUAAGAAUAGUUGAAAUAUUGAUGGACGAUGUUAAGUUCAUCCUUCCAUAAAUUUAAUUCACAAACUUAAAAUGAUUCGUAAGUGAAAUGUUAGUAUUAAGACGUUCACAGAUGAAAACAACAAAGAUUGAACAUCAAACUGUAAAGAUAAAAAUAAACUGUAUCUCAUAUUAUUUGGAAUUAAGNNNNNNNNNNNNNNNNNNNNNNNNNNNNNNNNNNNNNNNNNNNNNNNNNNNNNNNNNNNNNNNNNNNNNNNNNNNNNNNNNNNNNNNNNNNNNNNNNNNNNNNNNNNNNNNNNNNNNNNNNNNNNNNNNNNNNNNNNNNNNNNNNNNNNNNNNNNNNNNNNNNNNNUAAUAUAAUACUCAUAAGUGGACAUAACAUAGACAUAAUCCACCUAUAAAGUGGACACAAUGAUUAUAUAUAUAAUUUUAUCAUAAUAUGAACAUAACAGUGACAUAAUUUACUUAUAAAUGUAACAUAAUAGUGAAUUAACAUACUCAUAAGGUGAAUAUAAUAGGGACAUAAAAUGUUCGUAAACCAAGCCUAAAAGAUGCCUAAUAAACUUAUAACUUAGACAUAACAUAGGCAUAAAAGAAUUGCAGUAGUACUGAUAUUUAGGUUAUGUAGCAUAAUAGCCUAAAACAAGUGGUCUACUCAAAACACUAAAAAUUGAUAUAUAAUCGUAAUAUAAUUGUUCUAUGACAGUUAUCCGUUAUUAACAUAGAAGUUGUACAAACAUAUUGUGACACCUUGAUUUUGGGUUGAGUAUGAUUCUAGGAUAGUAUUGGUUUUUGUGAGUCGGUGAGAAUCACUGUCAGACGGUCCGUCACGGGCGUAUCGGACAGUCUCUCAUAGGCGUGAUCAUCAGGUAGAUCAUGAUCGUGGUCAAUGAUAGUCACGAACGUGGCAGCCGGAGGAUGACGGCCGUGACCAUCAGUAGGUCAUGGACGUGGUUUCCAUGUCACAACGGGUGAGGUAAGCAGUACGCCAUGGGUGUGGUGGACAACUUAUGAAACCUAAUUUUCUUCUUCCUUGCAAACUUCUGACGAGCGACGAUUGUUCCAGGCACAGGGGAAAGUCUUGUUGAUCGAUCCAGACCAGUAGGAGAGGCCUAGAGAUCAUCGAGGAAGCUUUAGGAGGUAAUCUACCUUCUUCCUCGUUCGUCAAUCCUUUUCUUUGAAUCCCAUGUAGGAAAAUCCUGACAGGUUUGGAUUUGGAGUUUUGGGAUUUCAAUUUUAUGAUUGUUCCCUUCAGGUUAUAUGGAUUAGGCAAGCAAACUCUAGGUUUCAGAUCAUACUCUUCAGAGGAAAGCUUUCAGAGGUAGGGGUUAGGAUUACUUUUCUGCUUUAUGCGAAGAAUUGUAAUUAGUUGUCAGGAAUCCUUGUUUGGAUUUUCAGAAUUGUACAAUAGUGUGCGAUCUACUGUAUAGAAAGAUUUGUUAUGCAGUUUAGAGUUUCGGGUUGUACAAUAGCGUGUGAUCUACUGCAUAGGCAGAUGGUUAUGAUUCGAGCAUAAGCUCACAACGAGAAACUAUGCAUUUAUACAGUUCAUGUUAGGAUUAAGAAUCAGAACUAGAAUAUACUAGCUCACGAUAUACGUUGGUCACCCACCCUAUAGAUUGUGCGAUCCCCGAGGCUACAUUUACUUUCAGGUAGGACUUGACGAUAAUGCCUUCAGUUGCUGCUCUCACGGUCUGAUCCACCAUGAGGUCAUCCGCUCAUAGCUAGGGGUGGCUAAUGUUAGGAUAAUACCUAGAGGACCACAUGGUCACAUUACUAGAUACUAGUUCAGUUUUUCAUGUUCAGGGUCAGCUGCUCAGUGCUUAUCACUGACCUUGUUACAUUUCAUUAUACAUGAUCAACCUUGGGACUUCAGGAGCCAAUGCCGCUUAAGAAAGGAGCAUGAGUAGUGACACCACCUCGCAGUGAGUCUGGGAGUCACACAGAGAGGUACCAUCGAGUACCUCAGCUGUCUCUUUCAGUGUUUUCAUAGUUUUAAGACAGUCUUUCAUGUUUUUUCAGUUGUUUGUGAGACUUAUUUUACAGUGGUUGUUUUCCCAGGUUUGGGAUGUCUUUUAGUGAUGUUCAUUUUUGAAUUCGAGCCAUGAUGCUCUGUUUAUUUUUUGCUGUCGUUUUACUUAAGUAUUGAGGAUUUUCAGUUCAGUUAAUGUAUGUCAGUUGUUAUGAUAUAAGUUUGAGUGAACCCAUGAGCAAUGCAUGGAUAGAACCGUGUGGUUUGAUCGAGUCAUCUAGGGGUGGGUUUCACACAUAUUAGUUAUAUUAUGUGACAUUAUAAUAAAUAAUAAAGGGAAUAUUGUCAUUUACCCUCUUUUACUUCACCCAACUCGCAUUAAGCCCUCUAUACAAUUCAAUGUUCCAUUAACCCCUACACAUUGCCCACUUUACCAUUCGUCUCCUUCCGUUACGCUUUCCAUAUGUACACCGUUAAAACCAUACAACUCAACAUGCCAUGUAAGUUUUUCGGCACCACAUCAGCGUUUAAUUCCUUUAACAAUUCAUGAAAUAUAAAAAAUUCCAGACACCCUUCUUUCUUCACUCUUCUCCACUCGACCCCCAACCUUUCUCACAUCCGAUGCAGCCGAACUUCGCCCCGAGGGUGAACACAAGGAGAGGAGGGUUGCUAGAUUUUGGGUGUUGUUUUUGCACUCAAAUCCGAUUCAAAAGAAAUAUUGGCCACACUGGAAAAAAGUUAUGGUUUGAUCAUCCUCUAAACAUUCGUAGCAGUGUAAUUCAAGGUCUUAAAUUGGCUACCACUACCAAUUGGAAAGUGAGCAAGCCAAUUUGUAGCGAACACCAAGUGUUCAACAAAAUUCUUAGAUGCUAAAAGACUCUUACUGGCAUCACAAACACUUGACAAGGGUGCUAAGUCACUAUUUGACACCCCCUAACAUUCCAAUCACCUAAAUUGUCACUACCUAAGUGAUUACCAAAAUGCACUCAAGGUGUUAGAUAAAAUGCCACUAAGAGAAUCCUCACACUAAUGGUUGAAUUGGGGUGUGUGCUUGGUCCACACACCCUUACCCCAAUCUUGGACUACACACUUACUCAAGUCAAGCACAAUUAAGUAAUUGAAAGAGUACAUUUGACCUAGAACAAGCCAUAGCACAUUCUAAGUUGCAAUAACCAUAGUCCAACCAUUCUCAAAUACCAUAAUCCAUAUCUAACAUGUAUCCAAAUCCUCGUCAUGAGGGGAUCAUCCUAGUACAUAGCAAUACCCUAAUCUAACAACUAAAGAGUCUAGCCACUCAUCAUGACACUAAAACUAAAGAAAAGGGAUACAAUCACCAUCAAUCAACUAGUAUGAAGAAGAUGAUGAGGGUAGGAUCCUUCCUCAAAGCUCUACUAUUCCAAUUCCUUCAAUCCUUGGUCUUCUCUAGCUCCGAAGCUUCUUCAAGGUCUUCAAUUGAUCUUCUAAGGCUUCAAAUUGGGUGAAAAUCGAGAGAGGAGUCGGGUCUCAACAAUUGUUAUGACUGUAGUGUGAAUUGUUCGUCCAAUCUCCAUGGACCAUAUGCCAUGUGGACCAACACGGGCUCCAGAUGCCAUGUGGCCUAAUUUCCAGCUUAGGACUUUGUUCUUUGAUCGCACAUAUCUCCCUCGUCCGACCUCCGUUUGAGCUCUGGUUGGUCUCAUUGGAAUUUUCUCGUUGUUCUUUAUGCAUCGGAUACCUACAGCCUCAUAUAUACAAUGAGAAACGAGGUCGAACGGACCAAAAUGAUCCAUUUGACAAAAUGAAACAAGAACCCCUUUUUUUCUUCCAACCAAUCACAAAGGAGGGUCAAAACUAGGUCAAACAAGGUAAAAAACAGUCAAGAUGUGGUCAAAUUGGCAACAAAUAAUCGUGCUAUCACAUCCCCCCACACUUGAACGUUGCUUUUCCUCAAGCAAAUCUACUAAUCACACUCAAAGAGAACUCGAAACAGGGUGAAAAGAAAAUAUUUCCUAGCAUUUCAAGCCUAUUUCACGAUGCCAAGAUUGCAAGUCAAUCACCAAACCACUCAAUUAUGUAUAAGACAUUGAAUCCCUUAAAAAAUUUCACACCAAACUCUAAUAUAUAGAUAUUAUGAUUAGAUACCUAAACAAGCGAAUGUACUAAAGUUUCUCCAAUGCACUUAUGUCAUAUGGUACUAGCGGAAGAAAUGGACAGACAGACGGUCCUGGCUGGGUAUUUUUCCCGUCUUGAGGGAGGGGAUGCCUGAUCUAACAUAAACAUAACUAUCACCAAGUAUACUAGCAUCUCCCUCUUCUUUUACUCUACUUUGCUUUCUUUUGUAUUUAGUUUUCAACUAUCUUUUCUCCCUCUUUUUUUUCACAUGGAUGCUUUUUCCAAAUGAGGUGGUUGUGAUUCCAAUUAGGCUCAGAUCCGGUGAAUACCGGGCACCAGUACCGCAAUCCACACAUCGAAGGGUUGAGAAGAGGAGCCCGAGGUGUUGAGCAUACGAGUGGCAGAUCGAAAUCUACCUUGCGUGUUUGAAUCACAACCUUCCUCCAUAUCAUUCUUAAGCACAUUGGCCUCCUGUCCAUUUUGACUUCAUAAUACCAUAGACAAGUUCAAAAAGGAGAAUCAAUCAUACAUAUCGAGCAAGUAAAGGUGAAAACUCAAAACAUCCAUAUGUGCGAGUUUGAAGCAAACUAAUUUCAGGAAAAUGGGAGGUAGUCCACAAAUGAUUACUCAACAACCUAUUCGUCCUCAAGUAGUAUGAAUAAACUAGGUAUGCAUCCAAAGAGAUUCACAUAUUCAAAUUUGAGAGGGAGUAUCAAAAUUCAAGAGCAAGUCAGAAAAAAUGCUACCAAGAUAUGCACAAAAAUUCUCAAACCCGAAUAGUAUAAAAAAAUCCUCCCCCCCCCCACACUUGUACAACACAUUGUCCUCAAUGUGAAAAGAUAUAAGGGGAAGAGGGGUACCAAACGGGGGUGAGGAGUGAAGCCGGAUGAGAAGAUGAAGGAUCAAGAUCGAGUACCUAGAGUUUCACAAAAGGCAAGAACAAAAAAAAAACAAAAAAAAAACGCAGAAACAAACACGAAUAAUGGUCGAGUCAAGAGAAAAGAAGAUAUCUCAAGGCCGUCGAGGAGCUGUCUCAACAAGAAUCCAAUCCACUUAGGCAAGAGUAUACAAGAAUGUGCACAAGUAGAUAUGGAAGAGGCAAGAUGCAUAAGAUAUGCAUAACCAAUAAAGAAGAUAACUAGUUAUUCUCAACCAAGACUAACUAGCAAUCCUAAACAAGAGCAUCCUAUAAUCCAUAAAUGAGUAAGACAAGGGUGAGAAAAAGCUAUGGAACCAUCUCAACUCAUUUAGAAUCAAUUCCAGAAAGUUAUCAUCACAAACGUGUACCAAGUCCAAUCAACAAGAAUGAGCAUAAAGAGUGUAUGCAAAGCAUCAAGUGAACAAAGUAUGCAUCAUUCAACUAUAAUCAAUUUGAGAGCUCAAUGGACUACUAGUAUGCAUCAUUCUUCUUUGACUCAUUAACCAAAACAAUGAGCACAUAUGGAUAAUCAAAAGUAGUGGCAUGAUCAAAAUUCAAGCAUUAGAAGCAAUGAGCAAAGUCACAAUCAUCAAUUCAAUAAUUGGACGCAUCAAAUUCACCUAGCAACAACCUAGGUUCAACCAUACAAGGGAGCACAAAGAUGCAAUUCCAAAUUCUCAUCGCAAGAAUUCAACAACCCACAUAAUUCUUGUUCAAAAAUAUCAUAUUGGCAAAGCUAGACAUUCAAGUAGGCACAACCAUCUGAAACUGGCAAUUGCAAUGUUCAAAUUAGCACAAAAGCAUCAUUUGACCAAAUUUGACCACAAUUCAAACUUUCCACACACUCCAUCAAUCAAACCAGAGCAAACAGAACACAGACGACACAGAUUCAGGCCACAUCAUCAACCAAAAAGUCGUAGGCAGUCAAACGAGCUUUCCAACGCCGCUGGUCUUGCGAAAAACAAACGCUCGAGCAAGAAGUUAUGCUCAAAAUACCGAACCACAGCAUUUUUUCGCACAAGGCGACCAAUCAACGGAGGGUCAACGUCCGGUGAACCGGUCUGGUCAAACUCAGGUUGGUUCGGUUUGAAAAUCGGUUAAACAAUGCACCCCCUUCUUUGAAUAGUGCAUCUUGGCACAUUUUUAACACAAUCGAGCACGUUUCGGAGCUGGAAAUUCAAGUUUUUUUUUAGAAAACCCAUUGGAACUGUAGAUUUUGCAUAAAAAGUACGCUUUAGCCUUUUGUUUCCAAAAUCAAGCAAAUUUUAGGAUCUGAAAGUUCAAUUUUUUCAGAAAACCCGUAGGAAGUGUAGAUUUUUCAUAAAAGUAAGUCUGAGCAUAUUUUUUAGUAAAACAACCAUUUUUUAGCUCUCGAAAAUAUAAAAAUUUCAAGACUGCUUUUUUUCUUUUUCCUAAUGCAACGAAACUUCCUGCUAGCCUUAGGCACACUAAGAUAAGAUCAAGCAAAUCUCCAAACACUCGUUCUCUCGUCCCGGUCAUCACAAGAACACAAGAAACAAAAACACAAACAAAACACGACAAACACACAAUCAUGCAAGUUUUAUUCAAUUUUCCUACUCCUAAGCUACACUAUUCAUGACGAGACACCUAUGGUAUCACCAACUUGGUAAUGUUCAAGAUGCAUCCCACAAAGUAGAAGAGGGUCAAGAUGAGUAGAGGAGGUUACCUCGAUCUUGGAAGGAACGAACUUUUGUUACCAUAAAGGGGCCGGAGAUGAGGACUCUAUCGCCCUCUUUGAGUGCUUGUUUGGUGGGGAGGUGCAAAUCAUGGAGUUGCUUGAUCGCUUUCUUGCAACUCCCAUCCUUGACCUUGUGGACACUUUUUUGGUGAGAAGAAGGAUUCUUGGGCUCAAGGUCUGGUGGUUCUUCAUGCAUGUUCCUCGCCUUAGCAUGCACUCCCUUGAUCGAGAUAGCUUCGGUUUCCUUAUUAUACUAUUUCACACACUCGCUCAAGGAUGGAUCCAAGGCUUCAUGAUGAAGAGAUACAUUAAUAGCAUAAACUAAAGCCAUUUCAACGGGCUCGCCAAUAUCAUUAUCAUCUUGAGGAUCCGGGUGCUCCAUACCCCCGAUCAAUUGAAAUGUGGCUUCCUUUUGACCCACUCUCAAGGUAAGCUUACCCUCAAACACAUCUAUGAUUUCCUUCGACGUGUUGAGAAAUGGACGACCCAAAAUCAAUGAAACGUCGGUGUCUCCGGUGUCAAUCACAACAAAAUCCACCGGAAACAUGAACCUUCCAACAUGCAUAAUAACAUCUUCAACUACACCACUAAGCAAUUUUGUAGUUUUUUCCGCUAGUUGGAUGCACAUCUUAGUUGUUGUAAGUUGACCUAGGCCUAGUUUCUUGUACAAUGAAUAUGUCAUGACAUAUAUACUAGCACCUAGAUCUGCUAAACCUCUUUCAAUCACAACUUGACUAAUCAUGGAAGGGAGAAAGAAACUACCCAGAUCUUUGCGUUUGCAAGGGAGGUCCCUUGAGAGGAUUGUCGAGCAUUGCUCAUUGAGAUUGAUGUUGGAAGCUUCUAUGAGCCUUCGCUUGUUGGUGAAGAUCUCCCUUAGGAACUUGGCGUAUUGAGGCAUCCUUUCGAUUGCCUCGACGAAAAGAACGGUGAAGUUCAUAUUGCAAAGUCGAAGCACAAGUUGCUUUAAGCUCUUCUCGAGAAGAUCCUUAUCCAAUUGGUUGGGAUAAGGUGGCUUAGGGUUGUAUGGAGCCGACUGGGGCUAGGAGAUAGGAGAAGCCUCAGUUGAACUCUUCGUAGCCUUCUUGGAACCAACUUCAGUUGACACCUUUGGCUUUCCAUUACUCUUUGGAGCUUUCGGAACUAAUGCAUGCGGAACCGGUGCACUUUCUUCGACCAUCACUUCAUUCUCUUAAUCACUAGAUGCUUCAUUUUUCAUUAACAUCUUUCACAAGAAAUUCAUUAUCAUGCACAAGCUUGCUAGGUACAUCGAUAGGAGGAUCGAUUAAAUUUAGGAGUUGUGGACACAUAGUGUCUCAUGCUCCUAGUUGUGAUAGAUCCACAAGUUUCCUUGCUCUUUGGAUUGGUUAUGAUAUUUCUAGGUAGAGUGCACGGUUGCCGACUUGAAAGAGCGUGUGUGAGGUAUCCAACUUGAUUCUUAAGAUCCACCAUUUGAGCUUGAGUUGAGGCAUUGUGGGUGUCUUGAAAUGCUCUUUGCUCUUGAGUCACCUUGUUGUGCUCUUGGAAGAACUUAGCUUGAUUCUCAAUCAUUUGGUUUCCUCCAUUGAAGCUCCCUUGAACAUAAUCAACUUCUUUAAUGAAGUGCUCUUCCUCCGGUGCGAAAUCGGGAGCAAGGGAUUGGCAAGUAGAGGUGGCAUGCCCUUCGUUCCCAUAACAUUCACAAACAAAGAGUUGCACAACCAGUUGAUUCACCUUUGGUUCUUGUACCUCUUUCUUUUGAGGUGGAGUGGCGGUUGGUCUCACCACCGGUUGAGCCAAGGCAAGUGCUUUGAUUUGAGCCGCCAUGCCAUCCAUCCUUGAUAGCAUCAAGUGAACAAGAUGGUUGGGAUCUUCCUCCUUAUGUCCCGGCAUCUCCUUAAGGACCUUUGGAGCUUGAGUGCGAGUACAAACAUAAGGAUCUAUGCUCACCACCUUAGCUUCUAUAGGACCUUGUUGCCUAGACCAACUCUUCAUCUUCACCGCCAUUUCCCGGAAGACUUGAAGCCAUCAUUUGGCGAGGAGUGAUCUCAAGUCUCCUCCCGCCGCUUGAUUGGUCAUCUUGGUGUCCUCAUAAGUGAGUCCUCAUAAGUGAGUCCUCUAGCAAAGGUCUCCGCGAGUUUCCACUCAUUGAAGUUGAAGUUGUGAUGAGGGCAAGAGUAGAGAAGGGCUUGGGACCUCUCCCAAGCUUCAAAGAAUGGCUCUCCAUUAAUUUUCUCAAAGUUGGAGAUUCUACUUUGGAUCUCAUCCGUCUUGUAAGGCAGGAAGAAUUCCUCCAAGAAGGCCUUUGCUAGAUUGUCCCAAGCUUGGAAGGUAUUGUUUCGUUGGUUGUCGAGCCAUUGAUUUGCCUUCCAUUGGAGUGAGAAGGGAAGAGUCGGAGUUGAAUGGCUUCUUGCGACACAUGAUUGAACUUCAUUAGAUCCAUGAUCUCGAGAUAGCUACUUGGACAUUCGUGCUCGUGCCCAUGGUAUACGUUUUGUUGCACCAUUUGAAUGUAGUUGAACUUCAACUCGAAGUUCCGGUUAUCAAUAAGGGGUGGAGCACACUUGAAGAAGUACCUUCAAGAGUUGGCUUAGGUAAUCACCUAGAGUUCUUUGAGGUUCUUGAGCCAUCUCAAAGAUGUUAACAAAUUCAUCAGCCUCUCCUUUGCAAGAUGAAACAAUUGAUGAGUGAUCCAGGGUUGUUAAAGAAGUUGCGAUGUGAGGUGGUGGUGGUGCUUGAGGUGGAGAUGAGAUGAAUCUCUUUGGUAGACGCCUUGUACGCUUCAAUCUUCUCAUGCACUAAUAGUGCAUGAACGGAACCUACACAACAAAGCAAACAACCAAGGGAACACAACAAAGGAAUAAACACACAAGAAGGGGGUAGCAAUAAGUAAAAUGGAUUAGGUAGAAUGCCUAAAUCGGUGUCUAAUCUACUCUUUCAAGGGGGUGAUUACACUCCCCAACAAUGGCGCGAUUUUGAUCCUCUAAAAAAGAACCAAACAAACAUGAUCGGCUAAGAAAAGGGACUAAUCCCAAACCCAAGGUCUCAAGUGACAAUUUUCACGAGGAACAGACCACCAACCCUAUACUCAACUAUUAAAGACACGGUUUAAGCUCACAAAAGUUCAAAAUGCUAGUUCCUUAAAUUAUCCACUAAAGUACAUAUCAUUCACAAGAGUAAUUGGAACUAAAUUAAGCUAACGAACUAAGCAAACAAGAUACUAAAGAGGGUGAACACAAGGAGAGGAGGGUUGCUAGAUUUCGGGUGUUGUUUUUGCACUCAAAUCCGAUUCAAAAGAAAUAUUGGCCACACUGGAAAAAAGUUAUGGUUUGACCAUCCUCUAAACAUUCGUAGCAGUGUAAUUCAAGGUCUUAAAUUGGACUACCACUACCAAUUGGCAAGUGAGCAAGCCAAUUGGUAGUGAACACCAAGUGUUCAACAAAAUUCUUAGAUGCUAAAAGACUUACUGGCAUCACAAACACUUGACAAGGGUGCUAAGUCACUAUUUGACACCCCCUAACAUUCCAAUCGCCUAAAUUGUCACUACCUAAGUGAUUACCAAAAUGCACUCAAGGUGUUCGAUAAAAUGCCACUAAGAGAAUCCUCACACUAAAGGUUGAAUUGGGGUGUGUGCUUGGUCCACACACCCUUAAUCCAAUCUUGGACUACACACUUACUCAAGUCAAGCACAAUUAAGUAAUUGAAAGAGUGCAUUUGACCUAGAACAAGCCAUAGCACAUUCUAAGUUGCAAUAACCAUAGUCCAACCAUUCUCAAAUACCAUAAUCCAUAUCCAACAUGUAUCCAAACUCUCAUCAUGAGGGGAUCAUCCUAGUACAUAGCAAUACCCUAAUCUAACAACUAAAGAGUCUAGCCACUCAUCAUGACACUAAAACUAAAGAAAAGGGAUACAAUCACCAUCAAACAACUAGAAUGAAGAAGAUGAUGAGGGUAGGAUCCUUCCUCCAAGCUCUACUAUUACAAUUCCUUCAAUCCUUGGUCUUCUCUAGCUCCCAAGCUUCUUCAAGGUCUUCAAUUGACCUUUUAAGGCUUCAAAUUGGGGGAAAAUCGAGAGAGGAGUCAUAUCAUCAUACAUCUUAAUAUUAUCUCUAAUUGGGACCACCUCAAUAUUAUCUGCAACAAUCUCAUCCUCAGUGUCAACCUCUAUGGCAAGUAGCUGUUGUAACUCCGUUUCUGAAGAUGAUGCAACCACUCCACUAGAGGAGGCAUCACAAUGAACAGCAAACCUACAUGAACAAACUCUAUACGAUUGAGGUUACCAAACAAAUCACCCCACACUUAUCUUUUGCAUAAACCAAUAUGCAUUAAUCAAGCUGUAGAAAAAGAGAAGAGUGGGCUUAGAAGCAACUAUUGAACAUCUCAUCCAAAUAGGAAAUCUGUCAUAAUAAAGAAUACUCAACAUCAUUAAGGCAAUCCACGUAAGGUUUAGGGCACUUAGAAACUAUCCACAAAGUCACACAAACAAUGUAAGACAUGUAAAAUUUCAUAAAUUCUUAACCCAGAAAAAUACCGAGCAAAACUCAACAUUCCUAUGACACCUAAUCAUAUAAUUUCAAAGUGCAAAGGAUGUCAUUAACAUCCUAUAUCAUACCCAAUUGAAUUCUAGCAUCAUCAAUUUCACAAAACCUCAUAUUUGAAAUUUCAAGUUCUUCAAGCUAAUCAUCAAUCUCAACAAUUUAACCAAUCAGGGCAAAGUGAACAAGGAGAAACUGGGCAAAAUUCAAUGUAAACUAGCUCAAAACUCACUCAAAGUUGAUGAAAAACGAAGGGGGGAGAUUGGGGGAGGGUUCGGCGGUGACCGACAACGGUUCUAUGGUGACAGGAGUGCGGAGUUUUGAAUGACGGCAAAGGGGUAGGAGGGUGGAGUCGGCGUCAGUGGAAUGUUUGAAAAAAAUAUGGUUCAAAAAUCGGCUAAGGCUAGAAUAUUUAGAAACCCGUGUCAACUAUUGCAUUGUAGAAGUGUCAAAAAUGCGGUAUGGACAUAGCGCAAUGUUUGACAAAUCAUAGCGCAAUGAUUGAAAGGAUUUCCAGAACUCAAUGUCAACAUUUUUUCUAUAGAUGGUCAAUUAUUGCGCUAUGGGCAUAGCACAAUGCUUGACACAGAUCCAUAGCACAAAGGUUGACAUCCUAUUAUGUGAACUUCCAUAGUUCAUGAAAGAAUCAACACUCUUUGCAUUGACGACUGGGGACAAGAAUGACACUCAAGUAUCACGUUCUAGACUCGAUCUAACUCCUACACAUGCAAAUUGACUCAAAGAAUAUGAAAAAUACUGACUCCAGACAUGGGCUUCCUUCCAUGAAGCGCUCUUUCUUUAACGUCUUUGAGCUAGAUGAUACAAGGACCUCAAUUUAGCAUCUUCAAAGUAAUGAACUUUUACUCCAUCGGUAGGCUUGGUACUGAGAUAUAGCUUGAGACGUUGACCGCUGAAUUUAAUGUUCCUUGGUCCGGAUGUGUGAUCUCCACAAAUCGGUAGGGAAAUGAUUGUGUGACUUCAUAAGGUCCCGACCAUCUUGAUUGUAAUUUUCCCAAAAAUAGUCAGAGCUGGGAGUUGUAGAGCAGCACCUUAUCUCCCUACUUGAAUUCUUUGACCCCUUGAAUAUUAGCAUCGUCGAUUCGUUUCAUCCUUUCCUUAUAUAUACAUGAGCUCUCGUAAGUAUGAAACAUGUGCUCCUCUAGCUCAAGGAGCUAAUAUUUGCAUUCUGAAGCUACGAGACUAUCAUCCAUGUUUAGCAGCUUCAUGGCCCACCAUGCAUUAUGCUCAAGCUCGACCGGUAAAUGAUAAGCCUUUCCAUAAACGAAUCGAUACGGGAAAGUGUAGAUAGGGAUCUUGAAGGCGGUUCGGUAAGCCCAUAGAGCUUCAUCGAGCCAAAUCGACCUGUCCUUAUGAGACUGAUCGACUGUGCUAUCAAGAAUCUGCUUAAGCUCACGAUUCUUCACCUCCACUUGACCGCUUGCAUGUGGAUGGUAAGCGGUCAUCAAUCAAGGAGCUAUGCUAAAUGUUUGGCAAACUCAAUAGAAUUGACCCUGAAAGUGAGUGACUUUAUCGCUAAUGAUAGCAUGAAGGCCGCUGAAACGCAUGAAAACGCAUGUAAUAAACUUUCCCACUGUCAGAACAUAGUUAGUAGACAGCGGUUGCGCCUCUGCCCACUUUGAGACAUAAUCCACUUUGAAAUGUUACAUGUACGUUGGCAGUUGAUUUUGGGCUUUAAUCUGAAUUCUGUGAAUUUUGGAAAUUGGCUGAUCAAUGGACAGUCACAGGCAUGACAGUCAGUCUAUCACGGGAAAGGUUGUCAGACAGACCACGACCGUUGUCAGCAAACAUUCAUGGGCGUGACCACUGGAAGAUCAAGGGCUUGACCAUCAGGAGGUCAUGGUUGUGACCAUCAGUAGGUCACGGGCAUGGUUUCUAUGUGGCCACGGGUAUGGUGGUAAGUUGGACAUGGGCGUGGUGGACUUAUUAUAUAAGGACAGUUGCAACUUACAACUCAGAAUUACUGAAACCUAAGAACUUUGAAUCCCUCUGCAAAUGGCAAUCAAUUUCAGGAGAUGGAGAAAUCCCAUUUGAUCUAAUCCCAAAUCAUUAGGAAAGGUCUAGAAAUCGUUGAGGAUGCUUCCAAAGCUACUCAAUCUUCUUCCUCCUUUCUCAAUCCUUGAUUGGAAAUCCUACGUAGGAAAUUCCUGACACAUUAGGAUUUGGGGUUUUCAGAUUUCAAUCCUAUGAAUUAAUCUCUACGGGUCAGACAGAACAUGAGGCUUGAUCUUGGGAAGGUAGCUUCAUAUUAGACUCUACUAGGAAAGCUAAUCAGAGGUGGGGGGUUAGGAUUUCUUUUCUGCUUUAAGUGUAGAACUGUAAUUAGGAUUGUCAGGAAUCCGAUUAUUAGAUUCUCAGACUGUGUAGUAGCAUAUGAUUUAUUGUACAUGUGUUGUGAUUUGAAGGGCUCUCAAGACUGUGCAAUAGCGUGUGAUCUACUGUACAUGUAUUACGAUUUUUAGAGCCAAGCUCUUAGUAUUGUGCAGUAACGUGUGAUCUACUGUACAUGGGUUGUGAAACAGAGCCAGGCUCUCAGACUAUGUAGUAGCGUGUAAUCUACUGUACAUGCAGUUGUUUAAUUUCGAGCAUAAGCUCAUGGUGAUUAAACUAUGCUUGUGAUUCACAGUUCAUGUUAGGACAGGAUCAUGUUUAGCUAGAUUAGCUCUCGAUAUGCAUUGGUCACCCGCCCAUGGAUUGCGCAAUCCCUUAGGUCAUGUUCAGGCUCAUGUUGGACGUGUCGAGUAUGCCUAUAGAUGCUGCUCACACGGUUUUCAGGAUGGUUUCAUAGUUUGAUCCACCAUGAGGCUAUCUACCAUAGCUAGGGGUGGUUGUUGUCAAGAUGAUGCCUACAACCUGUGAGUAAUGCAUGGGUCGAACCAUGUAGUUCGAUUGGGUCUUCUAGGGGCGUGUUUCACGGUAAUCUUCUAUAUAUGUCCCGAAAGCAAGGAUGGUGGCUAUCUCGGUAAACCACUAGCGCUUGUAGAGGUGAUGAUCCGAGACUUCCUUUGCUUCUUCCAAGAGAAAUAAUUGAUCAUCCAGAAAGAGCUCAUUUAUCUCUGCUUCAGCGAAUCGACCCAGAGAAGGCCCUUCAAGGUGCGAUAGGUGGUUAGCUGCAACGUUCUCUGAUCUCGCCUUGCCCUUAAUAGUCAUGUCAAACUCUUGAAGGAGUAGCACCUAGUGAAUCAAUCUCAAGUUCCCAUCCUGUUUAGCUAUAAGAUACUUAAGAGCAAAAUGGUCGCCGGAAUCUGGGCAGAGGUCGCCAGCGGUAACGGCCUCACUAGAGAAGAAGGGUGACCUCCCCACAAUCAUGAGGAGUUCAGUGACCAGAUCUGCAAAGUCUGAAAGAUAAGUUGCUGUUGUGCAUUUGAAUAUUCUAAAGUCUAGCUUCCGUAGCUCUGAAGUUUUGGAUGGUUUACAGUUAUGGACCUUGGUCAGAUUUUUUAUCAUUUGGAAGUUCUAGAUCAGUUAGUGUAAUGGAGGUCAUUAGAGGACUAGAGUAACAUUUAUGUCCUUAAAAUUUUCAGAUUAUUGCAAAUAAGUAAAUGGAGAAGAACUCGGUCGUUUGAGCUCCAAAUGACGCACGGUUAGAACUUACGGAUUUAUGGCAACGAGAGAAAUCAUGCCAAGUUAGGAUCAAAGGUGUCAGAUCUUCUUAACAGGUGGGGGUUUAGGAUUACAUUCUGCUUAUAAGCUUAGAACUAUAAUAGGAUGUUAGGGAAUCCGAUUAUUGGAUUCUUCAUGUGAUUCAGAGCAAGGGCUCUCAGGAUUGUACAAUAGCGUGUGAUCUACUGUAUAAAUGUUGUGAUGUGAUUCGGAGCAAGUGCUCUCGGACUAUAUAGUAGCGCAUAAUCUACUCUAUAGAUGUUGUGAUGUGCUUUGGAGUGUGGGCUCUUAGGCUGUACAAUAGCGUGUGAUCUACAGUAGAGGCAAUUAUUAUAAUUCGAGCAUAAGCUCUUGGCGUUUGGACUGUGGCAUGUGAUUCACAGUUCAUGUUAGGAUAGGAUAGGCCUAGAUAGACUAGGUCACAAUUAUGAUACGUCGGGCACCCACCCAUGGAUUGCACAAUCCCCCAUGUUAUAAUCGGGCUCAGGCAGGACGUGUUGAGUAUGCAUACUGAUGCUGCUCAUACGGUAUUCAGAGUGGUUUUAUGGUCUGAUCUACCGUGAGGUCAUCCACAUAGCUAGGGGUGGCUGAUGUUAUGUUGAUGCCUACUGGACCAGAUGGUCACAUUACUAGAGUAGUGACUACAUAGAAUUCCAUGUUCUAUUCUUAGUACAGGUCAGUUUCAAUCUCAGUUCUACGCGAGUCCAGAUAGCCACUUAGUGUUUAUCACUAACUCUAUUAGAUAUUAUUUUCUCUGGUGUAUAUGUGUGUUCGGUCACAAGAACUGGAGCUGAUGGUGGGGAGAGAGCUAGUCGGAGUUUUGAUAUCACAUGAUAUAUGUUUUGAUGUAUUUUCAGUACUAGAGUUGCAUCUCCUUUUAUCAUGUUGUGAUUUGGGAUCCGAGAUCCUUGUUGGUCAAUUUUAUCAAAGUAUUUCGGUUCAACUUUUAAUGCUUGUUUUUGCUCAUUUAUUAGUAGUAGAGAGUAGAGGUUGGUUCAGCUUGGAACCCGAUAAGAUUUCUUGAUUGAACCAGUGGUUCGACCAAAACUCUUAGGGUGGGGUUUCAGAGAAAAUGUGAUAGUGAAAUAUACAUUUCCCAAAAAAAUUCAUCUUCCCACCGAUAAGUUUUGGCUAUUUUCGUAUUUUCAUAAUUACCUUUAUUUUAGAUUGUAUGAUUCAAUUCAUUACCAAUUGUCAGAUUAUGUUGUGACAUCAUCAUUUCUAUCAAACGAACAACAUUGGCUCCAUUUAUAGGAUUUUAUCUAUUGCAUAUAAGACUAUUGGAUCCAUUUUGAUUUGUAAAAGUGGGUCCUACUUCCAUCUCAUUUUGUUUUGAAAUUUUGCAUACUUCACUUUGAAAGGCUUCUCAUUAAUGCAAUUCAAAAACAUUUGCAAAAGUGGACUUACAUGAAUAAAAUGAUCAUUUCUUAUAUAUUAUUUUAUUAGCAAAUAAUGAUAUGAGAAGGCCCAAUCCAUUGGGUCUUGAUCAGAAUGGCACAACCUAUUAAAAAUACCUAUUUUGGCAUAACAUAAUUAUAAUUUUACAAAAUAAAAUAUUUAAUUGACUUUUUAAAACUCAAUACAAAAAACUAAAAAAAUAUCAAAGUUCAUCAUAUUCUUCUCCCACCACCAUCCUAUCUCCACUAUCUUCUUAUCAUCCCCAUCAUCCAUUGCUAAACCCAACAAUUACUUUCUCUAAAUCUAUCACUUACCAAAUCCAAAAUCAUAUUCAUUUGUACACACAACCAAGUAUGCAAAUUUUAGAUAUGAUUUGUGUUGGUUUUUUAGAUCUGAUUUUGUCGAUCUCGAAGGUGAAGAUGAUUGACGACGGGGAAGGGGACUCUAAUACCCAAAUAUGCUACUGGAGAAUAAUCCAUCUUUCCAGACUAUUGCAAUUCAUACCGCUCCUUGAAUACUUACAGAGAAAGACGGCGCAUCGAGCUCAAAAGGAGAGGGUAGCGAGCAAUCGAAGGAGAGUAGAAAAAGCCGUUGCAAGCAAAAGAGAAAUCGACCACCAGAUCUCCUAGGAUUCCUCAUCUGAGGAAGCCAUCAAGAGAUUUUUUCCUAUAAGUCAGUUCAGCUACUAAAGCUACAAGUGGUGAUGAUGAAUAAGCUUCCAUAAGUGGUUCGCUGGGUAUCUCUACUUUGACCUCCUUCAUGGGAGCUCCGUCGUCGCCGCUGGCGACCCUAAAAAAGAACAUGCAUUUAAACGCGUUUACACACUAAACUAAAAAGGAGAAUGAAAGACUAUAAUUGGAAUUUCAACAACAAGAGAAAGUUAACUUCUUUUUUCUAAUCCACCGUCGGGAGGAGCAGCAGCAAGCUUCGCCCGUCUUCUUCCCUUUUGGGAUUUUUUUGAAUUAAUUAAGAAUUUUAUUAAUUAGAAGUUUAAAAUUAUAUGAUGUGGAGCCUAUAUUGAAGUCAAGUGGGAGGUACGUCAGGGGUGUUAAGUUUGACUGUUAAGUUGAUGGUCAAAUUUCAAAUAUGUGCCACAAUAAGUAUUUCUAAUAGGUUAUGCCAUUCUGGGUUUAGACCCAAUAGGUUGGGCCUCCUUAGAUCAUUAUUCAUUUUAUUAACUACAUAUAUGUUAUAAAAAUGUAUAAGUGACAAGUGGGUCUCAAAUGAUUAAAAAAUAUAAAUGAAAAAAUGGGCCACAAGUGAGAUUAUCACUUUGACUUGGAACGAGUACAAAUUUGCACUUAAAAUGAUCCUUUCCCAUCAAUAAUAUUCUCAUUUAAAUUUAAAAAUUGCCACAUAGGCUCCAUGUUACUUAACAAGUAGGGAAAAUCUCAGUGAUAAGAUGCUAUAAUAACAAAUAAUCUUGAGGCCAAAUCCAAUAACUGAGCAUGCCUUCUACAUGUCGGACUCCACCAUAUAAACACGGCCCACGUUAUAAUUGAUUCAUUAAAAAAAAGAAACAAUUUGAUGAAUUGAUGAAAGAAGCGAAAGGCAAAAGAUGGAAAUUGUCGUUUCUCUUCCUAAAACUAGGGUUUUGUUUCUCUCACUAAAAUUAGGGUAUCUCUUCGUCAUGAAGACUUCCUACACCCCCAUCGCCAUCAUGCUCAAGCACAAACCUACUCCUAUCAUCAACAAACCCAUCCCACCUACCGAUGUUGUCAUCAAAACAAGACCGACCCUUACUGCACCCAUGGCCUCCCUAUCGUUGAAGGAGAGUCAUGGCUCGGAGGACCUGACCGGAAUGACAUGGCUGACGAUUGGAUACCAGAGCUGCAGCAAUCUGGAAAGCCCCACAAAGAUUCUCCGCCGACAAAGACCAGCAGGUCAACACUAAGGAGAGGCGGUGUUCCUCCGAUCUUCGAGCUACAGGGGAGCGAGACGACUCUACCCCAUACACCAUAGUGACAUCGCCGGUGUGGACAUCCGAUCAUUCCAUUCAAAGCUCAUGAAGAUCGGCUACACUUGUGUUUGGCUUUCUUUAUUUUUGUUUAGUACUCUCUUUUUAGACAUUUGGUUGAUUUUCAGUCGUACGUUGCACUUCAUUUGUUUCCUUCCUUGAGUCGGGGUAUAGUUUUGUUAAUUUUUUUGUUUAUUUCGUUGCAUCUAAAACCGUUGAUGGUCGAAGAGAUUAAAACUGUAAAUAAAAUAUUCAAUUACCUACUUUCCCCUUACAUCUUUUCUAAAAAACAACUCUCAAUUGCAUUUCUCAUGGUCAAUGUUAUAUCACGCCUCCCUCUAUAAAGAAAUUAUAUUUUGUAAAAAAAAAAAGCGAAAGGCAAAAGAUAUCGCGAGACCUAGUUCUAUAUAAACCCAUUCCAUUCGCAGGUUACGAGCGGCCGUCAUCGCUGUCACAGGGCCAGAUAUGGGAAGCGCUAAAGCUGGCAAACCCUCAAAGAAGUCUCUCAGAAACCCUAAUCCGCUUCGCAUUACCCAUAGGAAGAUUACGAAGCACAAACGGCAAGACAUUGCUGUUGAUACAGUUCCCACCGCCCUGAAGUAGAAACACAACCUCAUAUCGGAGAAGAGGAGCCCCUUCCUUCAGCUUCCCAGCAACUCAGCUUUUUCCUCAGCAAGUUCCAGUCAGCUAAUGGUCUUCAAGGUUAGUCUCUACCGCUGGAGCUCCACAAUAUUGUAUCCCAUGACAUCUCUAUUUGGUUGCUGGACAGAGGGAUUAUUAACAAUUUGUGUAUUGUAUUUGCAGAAACAUCCUUUAUUCAGUUAUUUUGAGAGCUGCCUCAGGAUGUUGAGGGCCUAGGCCAGCAUUUGAAGACUGCUUUCGGAAAGUCAUGGAAAGAAGAACGCUGUGAUCGAAAGCUCGUGGAUAGGUAAACUGAACCAGAGAGUCCUGCUGCUCUUUUCAUUUCUACAUCUGCAUUGAGAGCAAUAGAACUUUUAAGGUAUAGAUUCUCUCAGUUCUUGUUAAUGAUCUUUGUUUUGCUCGAUUUAAUCAGGGUUUGGGCUUGAUUCAAUCUUCUUCUUUUAGGGGUGUGCGUUCACUGAGCGUUCACUGACGAAAGAAUGCCAUGCUGCAAAGCUCUUCUCUAAGCACAUGAAGGUUGAAGAACAUGUGAUAUCCUUUCCCUUUUGUCACUUGUUGUUCCUAUUACAUCGUUAAACAAAAUACUAUCUCUUUAUGUUUCGAGGUGUUGUCAUUUGUUUUGGAUAUCAUUCAGUUCCUUUUAUUAUUACUGCUGCUCGAGUUACGAACAUCUGAGGAAAUAGCAAUGCUUAGGAUGUUAUUGUCCACUUCACUGUCUCGAGACACCGACAUUGUCUUUAGUUAUUAUUUAUGGGUCCAACAAGUUAUGACUUGAACCAUGGUCACAUGGAACAAAAUUAAUUUAUAAAUUCGGACUUCUGUUUCAUCAGUGACAUUUUCACUCUUCGUCAUCAUAUACAUUUGGUGUUUGUUUGUUUUUGGUAAAAGGAUUUGAUAUUACCAGUUAUAAAGAUCAAAGGGCAGUAGCAGUGCAGGAUAAGCUUUUUUCACAUCAGUCUGCUUCUAGUUCAGUAUCUUAGUUUCAAUGAUUUAUGGCUGGAAGCAUGGAGCAGUAUGGAAUUUUUGCAAACAAUUGUUGGAUUAGGAAUUUCAUACUUCUUUUCACUGCAUUUUGAUGUUGGGAUAUGAUGAGUUACACGGAUCAAAUGCUCUAGCAGUGCUGAAUAUGUUUUUUGCACGUCAGUCUGAUCCCAACUUACCGUAUUUUUACUGCCCCUACCUUUAAAUGCAUGUCCGAGUUCUAACAAUAGAUGACUUGAGACAUGGAGCCUAUGAAUGGGGGUUCUCUGUUUGAUUUUAUGACAUUUUACAAUAAUUGUCACAAAUUUUUUUGACAUUGGAUAUGAUGAUGAGUUAGAAUCAAAGGCACUAGAGAUGCUGAAUAUGAUUUUUUGCACGUCAGUCUGAUCCCAGCCUUUCGAUUUCUGAUUACUGGAAUUUAAAAUUUUACUUUGUUUUCGUCAUUUUGACAUUGGGAUAUGAUGAUGAGAUGUAGAUCAAAGGCAUUAGCGGUGCUGAAUGUUUAUUUUGCACGUCAGUCUGAUCCCAGCUCACUGUUCCGAGAUUGUGCUGCCUUCUUGCAUUUCCUAGUUAAAAAAAUGUACUCCUUGGACAUGGAUCUAAACGAACUUCAAAAUAUGAAUGAUUAAGAUUUCGUGAUCAGUGUCAUUCAUAGUUUAUGAUCACUAAUUUAAAUCUCGUGGCAUAUCUUGCAGGGUGUUUAUAGCCAAUUAGAUGCCACACUCACUGAAAGCUUAACUUACGAUUUAGGUUCUGGUUGUGUAUCCCCCCCCCUGUCCACCGCCUUUAACCUUGUACUUCUAAGCAAUUGAUUGUAUUUCCUGAAUAAUGGCUACAUAUUUCGUAAUUGUUCAUGCUCUGCUGAUUAUAUUUUUGCACGUCUCUGUUCCUAAUAAAACUGCACACUAUUUUACGAAAAAAGACGUGCACGCUAAUAUCGUACACCAAUGUAAUAUAACACUAUUAACAACAAAAAGUUCUUAGUACGGGUUCAAUGUCAUCAUGCAACAUCCAUGAUGCCGUUCCUUAGUCUCUCUACGUGACUCUGUGUUGCAUUUGGUAAACUAUUUCUUAAACUUCUGGCUCCGUUUACUGCAGGUCACUUUCUUCAAGAAUCGUGUCAAUAUUGCCAGCGGCACACCAAACAGGUUAGUCACCAGUCAUUUCAUCUCGAUAUUGAUGUUACAAUGGGUCGUUUGGAUGAGGUAUUUGAAAGUGGUAUUUUGGCUCAAGUAACUCAAACUAAAGUUAUAACUGAGUUAUUUGGGCCAAAACACUUCGUUUUCCAUCCGAAAUAAAAGUCGUUAUAUUUCAUAACUGUGAUAUUUGAAAUAAUUAUGGAUGUGAUAUUUGAAAUAACUCAAUUUAAAACCAUAACUCAAAAUGAUAGCUAAACGAAUAAUUCUUAUCCCCCAAAUUCUUACAACUGAUCCAAACGAUUAAUGUUUACUUGCUCAUCCUUUUCGUUCUAGCUGAAUAUUUGCAUUUCCGAAAUAAUGCGCCCCACAUGAGUUCGGUAUACAUUGGUGAUUGCUUUUGCAAGUUUUCCGUGCAUGAAUUGUUGUGGUAUUCAUCAGAAAAUUACCAAUAGGAAAUAGUUAAGAGGUCGUAGAAAAUGCAUCGGGAGUGUCAUUUUAUAUUGUAGGGGCAAAAAUUGAUUUUGAUGAAUUUGAACUUUCUUGACUAGAUUCUUGAUAAAAAAAACUAUCUUGACUAGGUUGAAGAAGUUGAUAGAUAUAAAAGCAAUGGGGCUCUCGCGGUUUUAAAGUUAUCGUGCUAGAUGUCCACCAUGAUGUAAAGGGUUAUUCCUUGCUCACACUUCCACAAGGGGGAGAUAUAGAGAGAAUGUCCGGUCUCUUUUCAACACAGCGAGGAGCAUAGUCGAUUUUGUCAUGUGAAGAGUUGCUGUUGUACAAGUGUUAGUUUGUUAUUUUGACAGGACACUUUUUCAAUUAUUCAAAACUUAUAUUCUAGCUAAGCUAAGGGUAAAUAUCCAUUUUGUAAUUUCACUUGUUGCUGCUUCUACCAAGAGACAGCACACAAGGAAUUAUACUCAUCGGCUUCCUGGCCGCAAUUGAGUUAAAUCUUCUUUUCGGCCCCUAGCGUUUAAAAUAAAAUAAAUCUUUCACCGGCUACCUUCAAAAUCCUCUGUUUAUCUUUCCUUUGAUCUUAUCAAAUUUUUAUAGUGACAAAGUUUGUGAAAUUACUUAAUAAAAAAAAGAAAAAAUUAUUAAACAAUUGCUAAUAUUUAGGCCCGACAUUCGAUAUAGCACAUGUUUUUUAUAAUAUUUUUUUUUGCCCAAAUUUCAAAUUAUGUUAAUUCCUUUAAGUUAAAAUUAACGGAUUGGUGACAAAUGCUGACAAGGCAAACAAUGUGUCUGAUGUGGAUGGAUGAAAAGAAGUCAAUCGGAAAUAAAUACACAGUCAACAUACAGUUAAAAAAUUUUAUAACAAAAACCACCCACAUUCCUUAUCCUCUUCGUCGACCAGCCUUUUAUCACCCACCUGUCACCUCCCUUCUAAAUUAAUUUUCAUCAGAUGGGGAGAAAGAGUGGAAGAAGAAGAAGAAGAAAGAAAGAUGGAGCAAGGUGCAUUUGAUUUGAAUCCCGACAAUGUCGACAACAAUCUUGUAUCUAAAUUCUUUGUCGAUUUGAAUUUCGAUGAUGCCAACAACAACCUCAUUCUUGAACUCUCCGUCGAUUUGAAUCCCGACGAUCCCAUCAACAACACCAUUCCUGAACUCUUCGACAAUUUGAAUCCCGACGAUGCUGAUAACAACCUCAUACCUGAAUUCUCCGUUGAUUGAAUCUCAAUGAUGCCAACAACGACUCUCUAUCGUUGUCGAUGAAAUGCCCAAGCUUGUGGAGAGAUGGAUACAGGGAGUAGUAGCAGGUACAUGUCCAAAUAUGGAUGUUGAGAAAUCCUCCUCGGCUGUCGAUUUCGAAUGGUCCCCACGUUUCAAAUUGAUUUUAGUGUUCUUGCUGGGAGUAGGUUUGCACGCGGCUGAGAUUGGGUUUAUCUGUUUGUUGCAAAUGAAUGAAUUGAAUUGGUUGGUUUUUUAUUGGGGGUGGGUUUUGCAAGCAAGUUGAGUUGUUUGAUUGGUUUGAAGUUUUUUUUGUCUUGAUUGGGUUUUGUAAAAAAUGCUAGCAGAAUACUGACAAUGGAGGAGAAGGUGGAGGAAGGAAAAAGAAGGUGGAGGAGAUGAAUGAUUUUUUUGGUAGCUGAGUUAUUAUUAUUUAAUGAAAGGAGGUAAAUAAAAUUUACCUAACUAAGCUGACGUGACCAGUGAUUGUUAUGUGGCGUCGGACAUGGUAUCUUGAUGAUUUUCUUCUUACGGCGUUUCGUGUUUGGUUAACUAUAACGGUCAACGACAAAGUCAACUGAUUUUCGUUAGUGUGAUUUGAAUUUUGUCAGAAAAAAAUGUAUUUCGGAAAACAUGUGCCAGAUCAUUUGUCGGGUUAAAACAUUGCCAAUUGUGUUAGCUAAUUUUUCCUAAAAUAAGUUAGUGACAUUUUAUCAAGUCGAUCUACACUACAGGAAACUAGAUGUUUAACAACAUCAUUUUUUCUUGUUGACGACAACCAUUUCCUGUUGUUAUGUAUCAUAACGGCGGCUUUGAUUGCGCUAUUAAGAUUGCCAAUGCAAAGAGAUCCUACCAGCGAAAUAUUGGCCGCGGUUAAGUGGGGAAGCGUAACAGCGAAUAGCUGGCCGCUGUUAGGUUGCAUCCUAAUAGCGAAAUAUGACCGAUGUUAGACGAAAUUCUAAUAGUGGCAUUGUGUCCGUUGUAAGGAUUUCGCCUAACAGCAACUACAUAUCCUCAUAGUUUUCUUAUUAUUUUAUUUUUUUCGUUUGGCUAUUUUCCAUAUAUAUCCAACUUGUUCAAGUAAUUUUUUCGAUAGGUAGAUAGAAAUACAAAUUUGGGAAACACUUUGCUAAAUAUAAAACUAGUCAUUUUGAUUAAAUAUUUGAUUGUUAGGACACAUACUAAUUCCUUGGCUUAAACUACACCAUCCUUCUAAAGUAACUACUUGAUUCAUAGUUGUUCAUCCAACAUGUACAAUCCACUAAACAUAGACUACUCCUCUUGGUCGUAAUCAAGCUCAUCGUCCCUCUCAUUUGUUUCCAUCAUAGUGCUCGUUCACAUUUGUUUGCAUCAAAUGGCUGCCAUCAUACAUUUGGAUUUAGAACAUCUGCCUCAUCUCCUCCAAAUCAUGAGAUAAGCCAACUUGAGAGUUGGCAAGAUGAGCUAUACACCUACAAUACACCAAAUAAAAGUUAGUUUUUUUAUCCAAAAAAAUUUGCAUGACCAAUUCGAAUUCACGGUUUAACUUAUACUCUUUGAUCUACAAAAUGAACAAACGAUACUAGAUUUGGAAGGACAAGUUUCGACAGCUACAAUGAAUCAAGGAAACCUUUUACAUCUACAUUAUCAAAACAUAAUUGCAGAAUUAAAAGUAUAAACCAUGAGUAAGGUUGAAUGAUAAAAUUUUCACUAUUUAGAGGUGUCGGUUAAAAUGUGCAAAUUGGAUAAUAAAUUUGCAUGGGAAGGAUGAUUAUGUAGAUUACGUAAUAAACUAACAAAUACAUAUAUACUUAUGAUUUGAAUGGGACUUGUAAGUUAAAAUUGGAGGCGCCCCUCUUAAUUUGUACCUAUUGUAUGUUCACUAACCACCCAUAAUAAAAACAAGCAAGAAAAAUUGGAUUUGGUGGAUCACUCGAUGAAGAAACAAGAUUCGAAACUAGCCCUCAUAACUUGAUUAGGUGAAGUUUCUACCUAUAACAGUCCAACUUAGUGGUAGAAUUAAUUUAGGAUUAAUGCUGAAAAAUACAAAUACUUAUUCAUUUUGCUUUCACUCUAAAUCCUAAAUGGCGCACCACUGUUCCUGACUUCUCUUUUUUGUUCUUCGAACGUAUACGAUAUGCCCUCGCCAUAGCAUCCUCCUUGCUAACCCCAUGUUAGUAUUUGGUUCCUUCAUAAACUGUUUGACUUCAACCUAUAUUCAAUCUCAAAAUCUUAAAUAUAUUAGAAUUGCAUCUUAUCAACAAAAGGUCAAAACACAAUAAAAUUAUAUGCAACUUACAUAAAAGUCUCAAGUAACAUAUGUUUCAUCUUCUCUUUCAUAACACUUGAAAAAGAACUCAGAUCUUCUUACUUCUUUUCCUUUCGCUUUCUUCUACAUUAUACGUUCUACAAUCAAUACAAAUUAACUUCUCAUGACUUUUGGAACAUAAUAUAAAGACGAUUGAUGAGAUGCUUACUUACCAUCUCUUCACGAAUUAUAUUGAAAGGUUUUGACCCUUUCGUAUGAUAGAUGUCUUGAUUAGAACGAUACCUUGUUUCUUUGCAGAUGCAGUCUAUAAAACUGCUAGUAAUUGACAAAUGACAAUAAUAAAUAUCAUUAUAUCAAAUAUAAGUACAAAUGUAAAACUUACUAGAGUUGGCUUCCCCUCCUAUAUCUGCAAAACAUAUCCCACUCACGUUCAUCAAUAUUUGGUGGUUUCCUGUCUAAGUUGAGCUGAAGACCUUGAGUAGCAUCGAUAUUUGGUGGUUUCCUAUCACGUUCAUCGAUACUAAUCAAUUUUCUUUGGAUAUGACUAAUGUAAUGAAGAAGAUAGAAGAGAUUAAAUCUAAAACCCUUAUGAUUACCCUGCAUUCAUAAAGACUGCAAUGCAAUAUGUACAGAGAGGCGUGGACACAUAGCAAAGUCCUUACAAUUUUGACAAUUACCAUCCAAUACAAUUUUGUAAGCUACAGCUAACAUUCAUGAGCUAAUAAGUUUUGUCAGGUCGGUUACGAAAGAAAACACACUUAACUUCAUAAACAAUAAUAAAUUAUGAAAACCCCCAAAUCAAAGUUAGGGCUCAUCUAAAUCAUUAACAAAUCAUACAAACUGAUUUCAAUCUCAAAAUUAAACUUAGACCCAGCACUAUAAAUAAGAUGUCUAACCUAAAGCUAGAACAAAACACUUCCAAUUCACUAAACGGAAAACAUUUCAAAGAUCUAGAUUUUACUAACCUUUCAAUUUUCUUGCUAACACAAGAUGACUGAUUGAGAUGAUGGACAGGAACCAAAAUGAGCCGCAGCUGGAAGGCCGGAGCAAGCGACGCCGGCACGAAGAAGAAAAACGCCAGCGAACGGCCGUUGGUGAAGAUACUAUCUGGCUGUGUCCUUUGUUCAAUUUGGGGAAAGUUGGGUUUUUACGUGGUGUUGGGGGGUUAUAUGUAUUUGGAGUUUCGUUUAUAUUAAUAUAAUGAAGAAUUAAGUCUCAUUUUGUUUGGGGCUUUAAAUUAAUAACCCAACGUCGGCUUGAUUCUCUACAUAGCCGCUGAUAGGAUUACUCUUAGCAGCUGCCAUCUAAAUAAGAGCCACUGUUAAGUUGUUGUAUUCCAUCAUAUUUUUUAAUUAUUAUCCUAACAUCGGCCAAUAUUAAUCAGGGCCGAUGUUAGGUAGUAAUAACGUAUCAGUAGCCUUCCAUUUAUUGUUAGGAUAUUGACCUAACAUUGAGACCAUGUCCGUUGUUAAAUUUUGUAUGUUAAAAUAUCCUAACUGCAGGUCUAUGUGGCUACAGUUAAAUUGGCAAUAUUAGGUAGUCAGUUUCUUGUAAUGCUACCUUGUUUAUCAUAGAAAAUUUGUUAUGACAAACGUGAUUGUUGUUGUUACAUAACAACACUCUAAUUUUCCAUCUAUUUUUAAUUUUAAAAAUUUGACAGUCUUAAUUUGUUGAAUAUUUUUAAUCUUUUUUACAUUUUUAUCUCUCAUAAAUAUGUCCUAAUUUUUAGUUAAAGAAUCCUCAUUCAAUUUCUAUUUCUAUUUCUAUUUUUUUACCUAUAUUUAAUUAAGUUAAUAACUUAAUAUUUCCUUAAUUGCUUUUUACAGGUUGUCAACGGAGUUCUGGUACUCCCAACAAGUGAGAAGAACGAUCAGAUUAGUAACAGAGCACAAACAAAGGUACAAAAUAAAUUACCAUAUCACAGUCUCAGGUAUAUAACUCCAUACAAUAGCACAUUCAUGGGUACAUAACUAGACAAAAAUUAAUCAAAAAUUGAUACUUCAAUACACGAGGUAUAAAAUGCAGUACCAUAUCACAAACCCCUUUUUUUUUUUUUUUUUUUUUUUUUUUUUUUUUUUUUUUUUUUUUUUUUUUUUUUUUUUUUUUUUUUUUUUUUUUUUUUUUUUUUUUUUUUUUUUUUUUUUUUUUUUUUUUUUUUUUUUUUUUUUUUUUUUUUUUUUUUUUUUUUUUUUUUUUUUUUUUUUUUUUUUUUUUUUUUUUUUUUAUUUUUUUUCUUUUUUUUUUAUUGUCUGUUUUUUUCUUUUAUCCUGUUUUUCUUCCUUUUCAAGAUCUUGAAAAGAGAGAGAAAAUGAGAGAGAGAGAAUGAGAAAGAGAAAACGAGGGAAAGAGAAUGAGAGCAAGAGAGAGAGAGAGGAGGAGAAAUUUUUGGAGUUUUUUUAUUUUUAGUGGCUUUGAUAUUGAAAAUACUAUAUAAAGAAUUUUAGAUGAAAUCAGUCAGUUGAUACAAUUAUUGUUGUUAUGUGCUAUUAUCGUAUGAUAAGCGGGUGGGGCUUUUCUUGUUUUCGUAAACAUCAAGAUUUUAUUGGUUGGGUCUAUGAUUCCAGCCUACAUGAUACUCAAAAGGGCCCUGGUUCAUCUGGAAAUGAAAAGUGCUUUAUGAACGUUUGGAUUGGUGCUUCCUUGACUCGGUUUGGUAACUUCAAUUUCUACCCACCUAUAUCGUGUUAAGUCGGAUCACCGACCUAUUUUCAUGGUUGCGACCAAGCUCAAGAAGUCAAAUCUUCCUCAUACCUUUCGCUUUAUGGCUUCAUGGUUGUCACAUGUUGAGUUUAAGCCUUUUUUUGUCGGAAUGGAAUCGGUCUUUUACCUUUAUUCAUCAGAUGUCCAUUCGAGCUACCAAACUGAAAAAAUGAAAUAAGGAAAUUUUUGGCAACAUCCAAACGAAUAGAAGGAGCUUAUCUUUAAACUUGCUGAUGUUUAAGCUCUCGCAGCUCCUCUACUCAUUCAAGACACCACAAUGGACAUUGCAAGUGACCGGAAUACUCAUUUUUUUCACGUAUCCACCUUCCGUAGGCGUGCUCGGAACCACAUUAUUAAGUGAAGGAUGACUGUGGGGUGUGUAUUCAUUAGGUUUGGGAGUCGGUUAAUUUGGUUAAUAACCAUCGGUUAAUGGUCGGGAAGCGCUUUGAUGAUUGAAAUUAAUUAACCAAAUUAACCGACCGAGCAAAAGCCACGGUUAAUCUUACCGACCGAUAACCGACCAAUCAGUUAAAUGAUCGAUUAUUAACAGACUGACUCUCGGUUAACCGUUGUAACCGGCUCUGACCAAUUUAACUCUCUUCUCAUAUUGCAACAAGAUUCUAGGCUCUGGCUCUAGAUCCGUCGUCGAUUCAAGCCUUGGAGACCAUAGCUUCUCUUCUGGAAACAAUCCGGUGCUCUACAACUUGAUCCUUCGGGACUGGAAGCUUUCCGAGACGGCGUUGUUGCGGAUCAGUAAGGAGAGGAGGAAGCUUCAAGCCUAUGGUGUUGCAGAUCGAAGAAUUGAGAGAGUGGAGGAGGAGAGGAUUGGCCGUGGCGACGAAGGAAGCAUGUGGUGUUGCAGAUCGAAGAAUCGAGAGAGUGGAGGAGGAGAGGAGCGCUUGCGGUGACUCGUCGUGGUCGUCGUCGUGACUGCCGGCGAGAUGCUGAAAUUGAAUCGCUUGGAUUGAUAGAGUUGUCGAGAUGGAUUGAUGGAGUUGUCGAGAUGGAUUGAUGGAGAUGGCUCGGAGUUAACCUAAUUUCAGAAUGAGAGGUUGUGAUGGAGUGGGAGGCUGGGAGGGGAGGGAGCGAUUCUGCGAUUGUGGUGAGCAAAGCUUGAUUUCCUAAUUGGGGACCUUGGUUUUUUUAAUUACCGGUUAACGUUGGUUAACUCGAGUUAACCAACGAUUUUACCCUGCUCCAACAAGUACUCCCAACUGUUCCCCGACCGACCCCUACCUCGGUUAAACCGACACUCUAACCGAGUCGAUCAGUUCAUCUGUUUAACCUAUUAACCGAGACUGAUGGCCCACCCUUAGUAUUCAUCCAGCUUGUUGCUGCAAUUAGUGUCGUAUUGAUAUGGUUGAGAGAGGAUAAAAUAUGCUUGAUUUCAAGUUCUCCAACUUGAAAGGUUUAGCUGUUAAAAAUGUAGAGGUCAUGACUGAGUACUGAUUUCCAGCAAGGAGAAGUUGGAUAUUUGCUUGCGAUAAAAAAGAAUUUGGACAGUCUAUCUUAGGCACAAAAUCUAACGGAUGAGAUGGCAACUUUACUUCAGGGGCCUAUUGGUCAUUUUAAAAUUUUCUUGUUUUUCAGUUUAUUUUUCCAUUCUGUUUAAUAUUGGUUCAAGUAAAAUGAUUUCUUGUAAAUUGGGUCUAUUGAGUAACGUGGGUGGGUAGACUUUAUUGCUCCCAUCGAGCUUGACGUGAUAUUUUCUUCUUCGUUUCUUUAACAUGCAUAAAUUGUAUAUAAUACGAAAGGUUGGAAAUAUAUGUGAAGCUCGAGGUUUAUUAUAUAUGUUUCGAGGUUUAUUAUAUAUGUUGAACCUUUUUGCCAAUUGGUUAUUUUUAUCAUGUAGUGCCUUAUCAAGUAAAGGGAAUGGUUGUUUUUAUCUACUGUCACUAGCCAACUUUCUUUCUCAUGUGAUCAAUUAUUUGAUCACGCAUGAAUGACUACAGUACACAAAAGAUAGAAAUAUUAUAAAAACAAAAAACAAAUAUUAAAAAAAAAUACCUAAAAAGCAGGUACAUAACAACAAAAACAAUAACCGUAAAUAUCAAGUACAUGAAAGCGGAUGCUCAAAAUAAGCACGCACACAUUAAAAACUUUGGUACAUACAAGGCAAGAAAAUCGAGAACAUAUUGGAACUCGAGUACCGGAAUUGGUACGGUAUUAAGUACAACGUGAAGAAAUAUCAAGUACAUUAAAAAGCGAGUAUAUAACAAUAGAAAUAAGUACACGAAAACAACUCAGAGAAAUGAUAAUUUGAUUGCCAAAAUUGAGUAUGAUAAAGUAAAAUGCAAGCACGUAGUACAUGAAACAAAUAUGAGUAAGAGUACAUAAAUUUUUUAGUACAAUACAAGACAAAAACUCAAAUACAUAUAAAAACUGGACACUAAAAAAAAUAAUUAAUUAUUCACAAUUUUAAAUAAUAAUAGUCACGAUUUUUAUCAUGAUUAACAGAAGCUAGUCACGAAAAUAAAUCCGUAACUAACCUAACCGAUGCUAGAUGAACUUGUCACGAAUCUGAAUAACCUGUAACUAAGUUGUCACCGAAAUUUUCCGUGACCAACUCAUCACGGAAGAAACCGUGAACAUAUGUGUUUUUGUUUUUGUUUUUUAAAUUAGUGGCACGGAGCCAUAUGCUGUGAUAAUUGAUUUAUUAAUAAAUUAAUCCCACAUCUCCGUGGCUACUAUAUCACCAGAAUUUCCAGAUUCCGGCAACCACAAUUUCCAGAAUCCGGCAAUAAGAUAGAGUUGAUAAUUGCUUUUUUAUUAGAGUAAAAUGUUCUACAUCUAUACAUUAUGAUACCCAUAUCAAAAUUCCAGAAUCCCAAAAUUGAACAUAACGUCAACGAAAGGCACCAUGCAACAAUGGUGACACUAAGGGUUACAACAACCAGCAAAACCGAAACACAGACUGGAAAUGCUACCAAGAGAAGGAUGAGACUAGAUGAUGAGAUUGAGAUUGAGAGAAGAAAAAUGAUAGUAAGAAAUUUUGUUUUCGAGAGAGAUCAAAUGAAGAUGAGAUCUACUUCUAAUUUAAUAUAAUGGAAAUGGAGAUAUGGUUGUUUAAUGGCAAAGAGAGAAGAAAGGAAUAGCCCAUUAAACGAGGAUAGAGUCUGCAUCAUUUCUUUUUUCGACCUUUUCCCACUAAAAUGCUAAUUUUAAAAUUAUAAAUAAAAGUUGGUCACGGUUCCAACAUUUACCGUGAGUAGUUGGUCGCGGUAUUCAACAAUCCAUGACUAGUUAUGGAUUUUUUUUUAUCUAUAAGUAGUUAGUCAUGGUUUUUAAAGCCGUGAUUAAUAAAUCGUGAUUAAUCGUUGAUUUUUUUUGUAGUGCGAGUAUGAGUAUUGAGUAAAACGUCAUGUACAAAAACAAGUACAUCAAAAGCGAGUACAUAAUUAUCAAAACAAGUACUAAAACGAGAGGAAAAGUACAUAAAAAGCGAGUAUAUAAUAAUAGAAACAAGUGCAGUAAAAAUCAAGUGCAUGAAAGGAAAACGAAACUCAAACUAAACACUAAUACAAAAAAAACUUUAGUACGCAAAUAAGUAAAUACAAGAAAAUUAACAUACACAAACGAAUACAUAAGAGUAUAGUGUUUAAACAAAGCGAUUAUACGGAUCAAUACGAUGUUGAGUACAAAACAACAACUUGAGGCUUUAUCCCUCAUUUUUAGAUGAUUUUGUACUAAGUUCUUAUAUGUAUUAGUUUUUAUUAAUGUAAUCCCUCGUGUACUUUGUCUUUGGAUUUAUUUUUAUGCCAUAUCUAUUUAUUUACGCAUUUGUGUAUACUUAUAUUUUUAGAACUUUAUACUCAAAUCAAUUAAUCAAACAAUAAAACUAUUUUCUCUUUACACGAACCAACAUAAUAACCCAUCACCCCAUACAGGGUUGUGAAGGAGGUGCAGUGACCAGAAUUUUCUAGUUGUUGCUUUUCUAUAGUUUGAUAAGGGUAAGCAUCUUGUUCUAGAAUAUAUGUUGUUAGGUUAUAACAAUGCAUCUAGUUGAGCAUGAUUCUUUGGUCAAGUGUUACUGGGAUUCUUUUUGUUCCACAUCAAUGCUCGGAGGUCGAAGAGGCAACGAGGGUGACGAAGAAAUCGGCAUCACCACGUGAGAGAAGAUGAAGAAGAGGUCAGAGAGUGGAGCCGGUGGAAAAGAUAUACUAGAAGAGGUACUUAAAGUUACUUGUACGACAAAACUGCCCUUAUUCAAUUGGACAACCCCUAGAUUAAAAUUUAAAAAUGAACGGACGCGAUUCGUUUGCGGCCAGCAAACACAUAAUAUCAUGGCUGCCUAUCCGGACUCGUCAUAACUGGCGUCAACAUUACGUAGUGUUGUCAAAAAUUAAAAAGGGGAAUAUAUAAUAAUAAUAAUAACAGACGUAAUCUUGUGUAUAUAAUGAUAUUAAAACGUUUUUCAAUCGACAAAGCCAAGUCUGCGGGAGGAACAGCUAAUGGACGAACAGCCUAAGCAUAAGCCGCCUUCUUCGUAUUCUUCAGAUUCUCUGAAUCUCUACCCUUUUUUUUUGUUACGCGGAUUCCCUUCCCUCGUCUGCAAACAAAAAGCUCUUCGUUGACUUUUUAGCAGGCUUUUUUAAAAAACCUUAAUUGAAAAAAUUUGUACAUGGUUGUUGCCUUUGUUGGCGUCAGCAUGACCCAAUGCUGUUGUCAUGUUCAUGAUUGCUCCAACUCACCUGGCUGCGCAUCUGCCUUCUGACCUGACCUGCCCUCCUCCUUUUUUUUAAAUUAUGUUUCCCCAAAAUUAAAUUUAAAUCGUUACAAAAUUGGUCUCUCCUUCUCCUAUAUAUAACGUGGAAGAGCUCCUGCCAAAAAAGUCAUUCAAACUCAAAGCAGAUAAAUUAUCAAAAUAAAAAAGAAAACCCCAGUGCUCUGCCUGCCGUUAAGAAAUUAGUUUAUUGGGUUUGUUGUGUUUAUGAAAGCUGUGUUCCAGAGACUGAUAUCGUCAAGCACCCAGAUUGGCUGUAGGAAGAAAGUUGCAUCUUUUCCAUUAAUCAGAAGCGCUAAUAUGUCUGAAUCCUCUGCCUUUGAUUCUCCGAGAUUGGUGACCAAGAAGGUCCUUGCUAAGCUUCAGCGUGAAGGGGAUGGUGCUUCUGUCAGGAGAAGCAUUGGAAGGUAUAAUAUAAUAUAUCAUGGAUGGAUGGAUGGAUAUACAAUUUUCUUCUUGUCAAAAUUGAAUUAACUGUUUUCGUUUCUGUGGUGAAAUUGAAUGAUUGAAUGUUGAAUUAUUUUGGUUCAGGAGUGAGCUCAGGUCUCUGGACCCUUUCCUCAUGUUGGAUGAGUUUUCAGGUCUGCUUUGCUUAAUUACUUGAAACCAAAUUCCUUGAUAUUUUCUAGAAUUAGGAUGAUGAUGGAUGAUGGAUGGUAUUUAAUUUGUUGUUGCAAAUUGCAAUGCAUGAAGUCUCAGCUCCUGCUGGAUUUCCUGAUCAUCCACACAGAGGUUUUGAGACUGUUACAUACAUGCUGGAGGUACAGACAGUACUGGAGUUAAUUAUUUAUUAUGAAUUGAAGGCUGUUUUUUGUCCUUGGUAGUCUAUUUAUUGAUGUCUGUGAAAUUCGUGGGUGGCACUGGCAGGGAUCAUUCACUCAUCAAGAUUUUUCUGGGCAUAGAGGGACUAUUCAUGCCGGGGAUGUUCAAGUAAAAUAAUUCACUCAAUUACAAUACUACGACGUUUACUUAAUUAGCUAGCUUUACUUGAUCAAAGUCAAAAACUCUUUCUUUUUUUAAAGUAAACAACAACAACAACUUGUGUGUUUUCCUGUUGGGCAGUGGAUGACAGCAGGUAGAGGGAUAGUCCAUUCAGAAAUGCCUGCAGGAGAAGGAGUCCAGAGAGGCCUUCAGCUUUGGAUAAACCUCUCUUCUCAACAUAAAAUGUAUGUUUUUAUUUCCUUUUUUGUUUGUACUUUCCAACUUCACCAUUCCAACAGUUUGUAAUAUGGAACCAACAGGAUUGAGCCAAGGUAUCAGGAACUUCUGAGGCAGGACAUCAAAAGAGCAGAGAAAGACGGGGUUGAAGUCCGAAUCAUAGCAGGGGAAUCAAUGGAAAUCGAGUCUCCAGUUUAUACAAGGACCCCAACAAUGUACCUUGAUUUCACACUGCAACCAAGGUCCCAAAUGCACCAGCCCAUUCCAGAAUUAUGGAACGCAUUCAUUUACGUCAUUGAAGGUGAGGGAGUGUUUGGGAUCCCAAACUCCUCACCAGUUGAAGCACAUCAUACACUCGUUCUAGGCCCUGGUGAAGGAAUGAGCGCCUGGAACAACUCCUCUUCCAAACCCUUGAGGUUUGUCUUGAUUGCAGGCCAGCCACUUAACCAACCAGUGGUGCAGCAUGGUCCUUUUGUCAUGAACACAGAAUCUGAAAUCCACCAAGCAAUUGAAGAUUACCACUACUCCAAAAAUGGGUUUGAAAUGGCGCAGUAUUGGAGUUCCCAAUAGGGAACAAGUAAGUGCUUGGAUCACUCAAAACCAAAUCUCCACAUUCCCUCUCAACUUUGAAGAAGAAAAGAGUAAAGAAUAAAAAUACACAUCCACAAACACUAAAGGCCACACGCAUAUGUGAGUGAUACUCAUUUGUGUUCCAUCAUGUAUUAAUUUAGCUUUUAUCCUCUUCCAACCUUUUACUAUUCCAAAUCAAAAGGUUGAUUAUUGCAUUGUCACACAAAACAAUGAUAAUAAAAAUACUCAAUUCAUAUAAUCCUUAGAAUUAAUUCUUUUCAUAACUAUAGUAGAUGUUUGAACAAGUGAGAACAAAAUAUAAGCUUAAUCUUAAUAGUAAUAUCAACGGAUAAUAGCACUGUGUGUCACUUAAUUAUUACCCAUGUCGCACAUAAACUACUUAACUUUCUACAUUGCACAUAAAGCCACUUAACUUUGCUUAUGCUUGCAACAUCCAAAUUUUCAUUCAAUUUAUGGAUAGACUGAUCGAAUUGAUGAGUUCUUAUUCGAGAUCUUCUGUAUGAAUAACCUCCAACACAUUAAAGAGAACAAUAAUUUAUAAGAACUGACAGAAUAACUUAUUACUUGUUUACAGAAAAGAAUGAUAAAAUAAAAAGGCAAGAAUAGAUUAUAAUCAUGCCUUGGACACUGCUUUCGAAAAAAUAUUUCCCGAAUUUAGAACACCAAUACAACUAAAGGUUAAUCACAAUAUUCACUCAAACUCUAGUGUAGGGCUUGAAUGUUGGAACUUGGAAACUUAUGCUAUUUUGAUUCCGAUUUUGAGAGUGAAAACAAAGUUUUCUGCCCAUAUUAAUCAACUAGGAUUUCCCUUUUUAAAGAGAACGCAUCCACUAACCAACAUCAAAUCCAGAUUCUCCUUUCUGAUGAUCAUCAAUGAUAAGCAGAUAUGGGGAAGGUGGAGUUGAGCUCCCGAUUUCUAGGAAGCCAACCAAAUACUUCUGUUAAGCAUAAGUCUUGAGUAUAUGCGGUAUGUAACUGAUCAUUACUGUUACUUCAAGUGGUUAGAUAAUGGUUACAUCAUCUUGCUGUUGUCCGUUGAUGACAUGUUGAUAGCAAGUUCUAUUGUAAAAGAAGUAAACAAGUUGAAGAAACAGUUAUCUAACAGUUUACUAUUAAGAAUAUAGGAGACGCUAAACAGAUUUUGAGUAUGUGCAUUGAUCAUGAUAGGCAAGUAGGAAAGUUUUAUCUUUCGCAAGUUGAAUAUAUCAAGAAAGUCUUGAAGAGGUUCAAAAUGCAGGAUGCAAAACUAGUAAAGAUUCCUUUGGGUGGCUAUUUCAAGCUAUUUGAGAAGGAUAUGCCUAAUAAUGAUCCAGAACGUGCCCAAAUGCACGAAACACCAUACAUUUUUGUAAUUGAUAGCUUGAUGUAUGGAAUGGUGUGCACAAUACCAGAAAUUGCACAUGUAGUGGGAGUUGUCAAUAGAUUCAUGGGAAAUCGGGGGGAAGCGAUUAAGUACUCCUGAGAUAGUUGAAGAUUACUACUAAAAGGGUCUUGGGCUUUGAGGGCAAAGUAAUGUAGUUAGAAGGAUUUGUCAUCAAGUGACCUUGAUAGAAGAAGAUGUACAACAUGGUAUAUUUUUACUCUUUGAGGUACCAUGGUUUCUUGGGCUUUUAAGUUGCACUGUCUAACACUCAAGCUAAAUAUGUUGCGGUAACGAAGGCCAGCAAAGAGAUGGUAUGGUUUUAGAAUUUCUUUGGUGAAUUGGGGAAGAAGAAAGAGGAUAGCAUAUUGUACAUUAGUCUUAUACACUUGCAAAAAAUUCAGCAUUUCAUUCAAAAUCGAAGCUCAUAUUGAGUUGAUGUAUCACUUUAUGGGUUGAUCUCUUGGAAAGGAAGAUCUUACGGCUUAUGAAGAUUCUAGGAAGUGAGAAUCCUAUGGAUAUGCCGACUAAGGUUGUAAAGUUGGAGAAGUUGACACUGUGUAUGACUUUAACUGGUUUUGUAACUGAAGUUGAAGGUCAGAUGCUGCUUGUAGUAGGAAGACGUUGAACAUGGAGAACCAAUGAGAGGAGUAUGUCUUCAGGUGGGAGAUUGUUGGGUUAUGGUGCCUAAGAAACUGAAGGCUUGGUCCAGUUAGUUUGUUUAGUUAGAUAAAAAUUAAGAUUAAUCUUGUCUAUUCUAUAUAGGAUUAGAAUUAAUAUGGUAGCUCCCUAUAAAUAAUCUAUAUUCAUAUCAUUGUAAUCUGUAUCACAACAAUAGUAGUCGAAAUCCUAACUUGGUUUGUAAAAAAAGAAAUUCUAGCGUGGUAGCGCCCUAGACAUACUCUUCUCGUGAAGAGGAACUAGGUUCUUAAUUUUUCAGUUUAUGAUUGCGUUUCAUUUUUUACAGGAACGACCAGAUCCAGCUCAGAAACUUCCUCAAGAUGGCGACGUUGAAGAAGCUCUGUCUCGCUAACGCCUAACAAUGGCUUCUCUAGACUGAUUCAGACUGUCCUCACCGCUGGAAAAGGAGAUUAGAUAGAAAUCCAUCUUUUAUUCCUCUUCAUUGUUUUUAUGACAAUUUCUUCUUUUCUUUUAUAAUAGAGAACUAUUUAUCACUUUUGUUGGACAUUUCUUGUUUGUUUCCCUCAAGAACUAAUAAUUUUGGUCAAUGGGUGACCACUGAUGAUGUUGAUUCUAUAAGCUUUAGUAUUUAGUCAAAUUCUUGAGUUUUUUUCAACUAGAAAAAAAAAGAAGAGAGGUUACAGUUUCAAUUAUUAAGUUUGAAGAAUUAAAGAAAAAAAACUAGACUACAGAUAUGAAAAGGUAAUUCUGAUAAUUUUUAUUGAUGAAUUUUUUUUUUGUAAUGAGUAAGAUAAUUUUUUAGGUUUUAUAAAUGGGUUUUUGGUUAAAAAUCUCAUUUAGAUAGAGUUUUUGAUGGGUAAUUAUGAAAUUUGACAUAAAGGGUACAUGAUUAAAAAGGUGGGAAAGGAAGAUGCGAAAAGAAGGUAAGAAGGAAUCAAUUCAUGGCAAAAAAGAAAAAUAAAUAAGAGGGAAGAAAGAAGACAUAUAUUGAUGGGAGGCGGAGGUGGGAUAGGGAGGUGAGAGAAAGAUGUAACAACAAAGAAGGGUUUAGCGAAAGGUGNNNNNNNNNNNNNNNNNNNNNNNNNNNNNNNNNNNNNNNNNNNNNNNNNNNNNNNNNNNNNNNNNNNNNNNNNNNNNNNNNNNNNNNNNNNNNNNNNNNNNNNNNNNNNNNNNNNNNNNNNNNNNNNNNNNNNNNNNNNNNNNNNNNNNNNNNNNNNNNNNNNNNNNNNNNNNNNNNNNNNNNNNNNNNNNNNNNNNNNNNNNNNNNNNNNNNNNNNNNNNNNNNNNNNNNNNNNNNNNNNNNNNNNNNNNNNNNNNNNNNNNNNNNNNNNNNNNNNNNNNNNNNNNNNNNNNNNNNNNNNNNNNNNNNNNNNNNNNNNNNNNNNNNNNNNNNNNNNNNNNNNNNNNNNNNNNNNNNNNNNNNNNNNNNNNNNNNNNNNNNNNNNNNNNNNNNNNNNNNNNNNNNNNNNNNNNNNNNNNNNNNNNNNNNNNNNNNNNNNNNNNNNNNNNNNNNNNNNNNNNNNNNNNNNNNNNNNNNNNNNNNNNNNNNNNNNNNNNNNNNNNNNNNNNNNNNNNNNNNNNNNNNNNNNNNNNNNNNNNNNNNNNNNNNNNNNNNNNNNNNNNNNNNNNNNNNNNNNNNNNNNNNNNNNNNNNNNNNNNNNNNNNNNNNNNNNNNNNNNNNNNNNNNNNNNNNNNNNNNNNNNNNNNNNNNNNNNNNNNNNNNNNNNNNNNNNNNNNNNNNNNNNNNNNNNNNNNNNNNNNNNNNNNNNNNNNNNNNNNNNNNNNNNNNNNNNNNNNNNNNNNNNNNNNNNNNNNNNNNNNNNNNNNNNNNNNNNNNNNNNNNNNNNNNNNNNNNNNNNNNNNNNNNNNNAUGGGUUUGUGGUUAAAAAUCUCAUUUAGAUAGAGUUUUUGAUGGGUAAUUAUGAAAUUUGACAUAAAGGGUACAUGAUUAAAAAGGUGGGAAAGGAAGAUGCGAAAAGAAGGUAAGAAGGAAUCAAUUCAUGGCAAAAAAGAAAAAUAAAUAAGAGGGAAGAAAGAAGACAUAUAUUGAUGGGAGGCGGAGGUGGGAUAGGGAGGUGAGAGAAAGAUGUAACAACAAAGAAGGGUUUAGCGAAAGGUGAUAUAAACAAAAUUAAUUUUGUAAGAAAAUAUUUUUUUUAAUGCCAUGUCAACUAGUUUGUAACUUUUAGUGUCCAUGUCAACAAACAAAAUUUUAUAAAGUUACCAAAAUUCAAAAUUUGUGUUACGAAAAGUAUUUCUAAUAGAUUGUGCCAUUUUCGGUAAAGGCUUAAUAGGUUGUGCAUUUAAGAAAAAAAAUAUUAUUGUGUUUCUACAAUUAACAUCAAUUAUCACCAAACCAUUAAAUACUAAAAACCAAUUAAGAUAUAGUCAUGUUACAAAAAAUGACUCUUGUUAUGAUUUUUUUGUUUAUGCAAUGAUAGGAUGAGAUUAAAAGGUUAAUUUCUUUUUCGACAAAACUUGUAAAAUAUUAUUAAACUCAAUUAGAUAUAAUAUCAUCUACAGUUGGUCAAUCAAAAAAAUUGAGGGUCUAUCCACCGAAACAAUCGUGGAGUUCCAAUGAGUCUGAUUAUACGCCAUAACAUGGGUAAGCUUGUUAACUUAUCUCCGGCCAUGACGCCAAUUACCACAAUCAAACUUUGCCAAAAGGCAACGAAUUAUGGACUAAAAUCCAUGUUCGGUAUGAUGAUCUUCCACAUGAUGCAAAGUCUCAACCAUGAUCAAGCUAUCACUUUCAAGAACCACAUUAGGAUACCUAUGUUGCAAGGCCAAUUGUUAGCAAAAUCUUGCCUCGACCGCCUCAGUUAAAGUAGGCUCAUAGCAACCCUACAAUUUCAACAUAUCCGCCAUUAAGUAAUGCCGAACGCCAUCCCAGAUAACCACCCCAAUACCCAUUCUGGAUCCUGUAAUGAUAGUUGCGUUUAAGGUAGUGAAACUGGUGAGUCAACAUGGGAUCGAAAAGGGACCUAGAAUCGUAAUCGUAAAAUCAAAUCGCAAAAUCAUAAAAUUUCACGGUUCUUCAAUAAUACUAAAUAUUCAGAAAUUCACCUUAGCAUAAAGACGUAAGUUCAUUAUCCAAUCUAAAAUUAAAAAUAAAAUCUCAAAUUCACCUUAAUAGGUUCUUCAGUUGCACUACUUUGAGCUGAUUUUCGAGUCUAGGAGACCGGAGACAAAAUCUGUGAACAAAAUUGUACAAUCUUACAACAAAAAACAAAAUACCUUCGAACAAAGAACCUAAACACCAAAAAUCCAAAACUAAUCUAACAAAAACAGAAUUAGAGAAAGGAAUGGGAUGAUGAGCAAAAUCAUGGAAUGGGAUGAUGAAGAAUCAUGGAAUCAAGGAAACAGAGAUACCUUCGAGCCGUAGGAGUGGCUGGAGCGAUGGGGACGACCAAAGAGGCUAUGACGAGGACCAUUGACUCCUGGUUCUGGUCUUCUAGACUUCUGGGGGACGACCGACGGGGGAGACGACAAGAGAGAAGACUGAGGAUCGAGCAGAGAUCGAACGAGCAAUCGACGACUUGCACAAUUUUUUUCAGAAGAUAAAUGAAUUUAAGGUUCGAUUUUUUGCCCAAAAUUGAACUCGGAUUUCCGUUUCGGUUCGAACCGAAGCAUAAAAACCAGCGGUCAGCACAGAGUAGUGGACUCGUGAAUCGUUGUAAACUCGUUCGAUUCCACGAUUUUCACGAUUUUGCGAGCGAUUUCAUGCCAUUAUAAGCCAUUUUGAUUGCGCGUGAAAUCUGACUCGACGGACCUAACAAAACUCGUAAAAUCGUCGAUUCCACUUCCUUCGUUGUGUAUGUACUGAUAUGGGGUUCCUGGUUUAGUGGUUGAACCGGGGUUGGACCGUUUUUAAACCGGGUCGGCCAUUUUAAAUAUUACAUAAAGUUAAAUCGGACCGAAAAAAUAUUGGAUUGAACGAAAUCAAACUGACAGUACAAAUAGUCAAAUUUUGAGAUUUAACCUUUGAAAAUUGAACAAUUUUAAAAAAUUUAUGUACAUUAUGAUGUUAUUCUUUUUUAAGUUUAUGUAAUAUAAUGAUAUUAUCUAUAGUUGAAGUCUUCCACACAUAUAUAUCUAGAAUGCUAAAGAAACCCUAAUGGAUCUUUCAAUCUUUCUUUAAUUGGGCUCCAACUACUCAAUACCCUCUCUCACACUUUUUUUCUCUAUAGAGAAACUCUCUCCCUUUUUCAUCAGAUUUUUUUCUCCUUGUAAUCUAAUCUUAUUUUUCUAAUAUUUUCAUUCUAUUUCUUCCCUAUUUGUCUCUUUUACUUUUUUCUUUUUGGAAGGUUAUUAGAAAAAGAGGACCACUAAAUAAUUCCGUCGACGUCCAGCAAUAGGGUUUUCCAAUUUUUUCACAGAUGGAUCCAUGUUUCCAAAGUUCUUUUGUUUUUUUUUCUGAUCUGAUAGUUGGUUCUUUAACUAGUUGAAUUAUCUGGUUUUCCGGGGAAAUCGGGUCAAUCCUCAGUUUUGUUCAUUCUCCUCAACCGCUAACUCAGUAUUGAUCAAAUGAUCGGUUCACAGUCGGACCGGCCGGGCUGAUAUGGUUUUGCUAACAUUGAUCUUAGUAGAGCCGACUAGAGGCCAUUCCAACCGAGCCACAAUGGCCUCAUACGAAAAACUCCUAGUUACCCUGAGUUCUUGAUAAUAAAUAAGAAUUGGAGUGCUUGUGCUAUGAUAUCACACUCCAAUUAGUGAAACUCAUUAAGCAUACACACAUUCCUUUCUUUCCAUCAGAAUCACAUAAGCAUUACCCAUCUUUCCAACUCCAAAUUCAAAACUUUGCGGUUGCUAAGUGAGAACCAAUCGCAUCAGUCAUUAGAAUCAUCAAAAUCAACCAGUGAUCAUGUUUAGAGUUACCUCAAAUCCGCCAAGUCCAUUGGCAAUCUCGGAAAUAGUGAAUUUGCAGGCAACCUGCAAAAUGGGCAUAUAUCACCAUGUCGAGGAUUAUGCUUAUACAUAUUAUACCUGUAGGUAAAAUUUACGAUGAAAUUUUCAUAAGAACUGCUCACCUUCGACGGAAUCUACAAUGACCAAGAACAAUUCCAAACAUCCGAGUUGCAAUUUGGAUUAAGACCCACUAAAAGAAAACCGUGUCCAUUAUUACGGAUAAAACCGGCCGUUGUCACUGAUAUUUCCAUGUCCCUGCCUCGUUGUCGCGGGAAAAUCAUCCGCGACAACGGGCGCCUUCAUAAUGAGGGGUGNNNNNNNNNNNNNNNNNNNNNNNNNNNNNNNNNNNNNNNNNNNNNNNNNNNNNNNNNNNNNNNNNNNNNNNNACGGCCGCCUUCAUAAUGAGGGUUGUGGGGACUAAACUAUCCGCGAAAAAUAGGGUUGGCGCGAACCCGUUAUGACCGGUUUGGUUCAAAUAGUUAGGUUGAAAGGCAUUUUAACAAGUUUAUCCGCAAAAACGGCAAGAGAUAUCCGCGACAAUGGCUAACAACAUUUGUUUUGCCGUCAUAACGGUUCCCCUAACGACGUUGAGUUUAUCCACGGCCAAGGUUGACAUUGUUAGUUUCUCCAUCCUACCCGUAAUGGUUGUUGUGCCAAAUACUAGGCCAUAAUAUCUGCGACAACAGCUCAAGUACUGCCUAAAAUUUUGUUAUUUUUGCUUGUUUCGUCCACUGUGGGCGCCUAAAAUAAAAGUUUAUAUAUGCACUAUUCUACACAUAACACAAUAUAUACCAAUAUCAUUAGCAUAACGAUAACACAUAUGAUCAUCCAAGAGUUAAUACUAUAACAUAAUCCAUAGAUCUACUCCAACAUAAUUCCUUGAUUUUUUACCUAACUAAAGUCAUUAGUUCACUAGACUACAUCACUAUCAACCUAGAUAUAACUACACUAGAGACUCGUCAUCCUCAUCCUCGUCAUUAUGACCAAGAUCCUUAUUAGCUCAAGUAUACAAAAGAAGAUAUAUAAAAUUGAAAUUAGGUUAAAACACAUAAAAUUAAGUAACAUGAACUUUAUAACAUAUAAAGAUUACUAAUAAUUUACCCGCCACAUCGUAGUCGUAGUUCUGUUGGAUGUGGUUAUAUUAUAUUAACCGCUACAAUCGUCGUUACGGAUCAUUAUCCGUGUCCGACGAUGACCUAACCGUGACACCCGUUAUCGCGGAUAUUAUCCCCCAUAACUAAUCUACGUCAGACAUCAAAUUUUGUUGUAGUGGCCAAGCUAUUCUUUAAAGCUAGUCAGCCAGUUUUAAUACCCCUAUUUUUUCGAAUAAACAGCUUUACUACUUGAAAUCCAAAUAAGCAUUCCGAUUCUUGAACAUCGCAAUGAAUAAUUUGCACGAUAGAAGUUGAUAUAGUUGACCAAAAACAGCUUUCAAUAAGAGCAGUAUUCUACUGAUAAGUCGUUCGAUUAACCAACUCACGAACUGUAGCAUCAACAUCAAACCUCAUCGGCGUAGAGGUCACAAAAUUACCGGGUACUAACGGAAGCCAUCCGUCUCCCCAAAUUCUAACGGACAUACAAUUUCCCACCCACCACCCAAGGCCACUCCAUACAAAACAUUGAGCACCAAAAAGGCUAUGCCAUAUAAAGCUAAACCCAACUCAGCUUUAAAGACAUAAUAGAAUUUUUAAAAUACUUAGCUUUCAUAAUUCUUACAAUAAGGGAAGAUGCUCUUGAGUGUAAGUUCCAAAGAUGUUUAGCAAGUAAAGUAAUGUUAAAGCCUAAAAAAUCACAUAAUCCCAUCCUAGCUUCGGAUUUCAAACUCAAUAGAUAUUCUUGACAAAAUGAGGGAUGAGCACUGGGUCGGGUCACCCAUCAAAACCCACCCGCCUAUAAUCACUCUCUACCACUACUACCCUUUUCCCCAUCACCAUAAAACUUUGCAUGCUUGUUUGUGUGUUUUUGUAGUUUUUUUGUGUGUUUUAUGUCGCUUUUCAUCGUUUGAGUAGAGAGAGAGAGGGAGAGAGAGAGGGAGAGAGAGAGAGGGAGAGAGAGUAUUUCAAGGGUUGCAUGUCAUACCAAUGAUUAAGAAUGCAUGAUAGAAGGUCUCGAUUCAAAUUAGGGUUCGGUCGGUGUCUGAUCGAAGGACGAAUGAUGCUUGCAUUAUUUUAUUUUUACUGAAAAAUUGGGCUUCUGGAGCAGCCUUUAGAUCAAUCUCAAGGUGUGUGGCUUUGCAUAGUGUGUGUCGUUUCCUUAAGUUUCUCUCGAUAGAAAAUCGAGUUUAUGGCGUGUGAUCCCACAUGCCAUGUGACUGAUUUUUGACAAAACGAACCGACCAAAGAACAACCAAAAACCCAACCGGCUCAAACCGUAAUGAACCAGAUUGAUUUUCAAACCGAUUUUCAACCAAAUCAAACUGAGUUUGACCAGACGCAUUGACCCUUCGUUGACCGGCCGUUGCCCCCGUUGACCGGUCACCAUGGAAGAAAAAACAUGGCAGUUUAGUAGUAUUUUGGGCAUAACAUUUUGCUCGGGAGUCUGAUUGACACAAGGUCAGUGACGUUGGAAACUUGUUCAGUUGCCUACAACUUUGAUGUCAUGAUGUGGCCUAAAUCCAUGCAGUUUGUGCUCAUUUUUCUUGGUUUGGAUUGAUGGAAUUUGAGAAAGUUUGAAUUGUGGUCUUGUUUGGUUUGAUGAUUUGGUGCGAUCGUGAUCAAUUUCUUGAUAGUAUUAUAGUGAUAUGUUCAUUGCAAAUGCUAACGUUUGGGAUGGUUGUCCAAAAUGGAUAAUUCUAGCUUUGCAAUGUGAAGAUUGCUGGAUGUUGAGACGUGAUCACUUUGUCACUCUUGUAUCGAUGGCAUGUUGUUGAUUUUCAUGAGAACUUGGAAUGGCAUCAUGAUGCUUCAAAGUGUGGUUGAACGUAGGUUGUUACUAGGCCUGAGAGUCGGUUAAUUUGGUUACUAACCAUCUGCUUAAUGUUCGGGGAAAAUGAUUUGGAGAUUAAAGUUGGUUAAUCGGUUUAACUGACCGACCAUAUGUAAUGGUUAAAAAGCCGACCAAUAACUGAUAAAUCGGUUAAAUAACCAAUUAUUAACCAACAGAUUAGUCGGUUAAUCCUAUGAACUGACUUUGAUUGAUUGACCGACUAUACCGACUUAACCUAACAAGAUCUGAAUCUCCAUGCUCAUCUCUGCCAUCGAGUGAGCCACGUUCUGCUCAUGAUAACCGUUCGUCCAAGCAUUCAUACUCUACUAAGAAAGCUUGCCAUGGCCGCCACUCUGAACACCGGUCAAAGAACUGAAUACUUGUUCCAAGAUCCGAACUUCCAGAACCGUCUCCAAUCCAUCUUCCCAAUUGUAGUUUGGACAAAGUUUCCUCAUCUGAAUUUUUACUCAAUCACACAACUACAACCUACACGACAACCAUAAUCAAUAGAGUGGAGGGGGAUAGGAUGAAACAGAGGACUGGUUGAAAUUAUAUGGGCCUAUGUUGCAUCCUCAAUAGCUCGUCGUCGCCAAGCCUCACUGAGCCGUCCCCGAGAGAGGAAGAGACGUAGAGUCUAGAGAUCGUGCUUUACUAGUGCUCAACACUCAUGGAGCCGUCACUGAGAGAGGAACAUAAUCCCUAAUGAAUCGUGAAAUCGAGAAUGAACGGGGAUAAGUGAAUAUGUUUGUGUGUGUGUGAGUUUGACCUAAAAAUGGGGGGAUUGGGAAUACGACGUAGACAUUUGGGUUCAGACUUGGGGUUCUUUUGACCGAUUAAUGUUGGUUAACACAAGUUAACUGACGGGUUUUAACCGAUUCACCGUUUAACUGAAGUCAGUUUUUCUCUUUGACCGUCCCCCAACCAACCUGUAGCUCGAUUAAACCUUCCUCUAACUUAUUCGGUCGGUUAAUCAAUUUUAAACGAUUAACCGAAACUGAAUUCCUACCCUUAGUUGUUACUAGGUGCUUUUGUUGCUCCCAAUUGAUGAUUUGUGAUUAUUUCCAUGCUCAUUUAAUUUGCUUCCAUUGCUCAUAUUUUGUCCUACCAUUACCCUUGAUGACUCAUUGGUUACUCACUGUUUUGGUAAAUGGUUCAAAGAAGCAUGAGGCAUAUUACUAGUCCAUUUGUUCCUGUAAUGAUAUAUCUUUGACCUCACCUUUUGGUAUAACUUGAAUGAUGCAUACGUUGUCACUUCAUGCUUUGCAUACACUCUUUAUGCUCGUUCUUGUUCAUUGGACUUGGUCAACAUUUGUGAGGAUUUCUUUGUGGCAAUUGAUGAUAAAUGAGUUAAGGUGGUCCCAUAGCUUUUGCUUACCCUUGUCUUACUAAUUUAUGAAUUAUAGGAUGCUCUUGUUUAGGAUUGCUAGUUAGUCUUGCUUGAGAAUAACUAGUUAUCUUCUUCAUUGGUUUUGCCUUUCUUUUACAUCUUGCCUAUGCCAUGUCUACUUAUGAGCUAUUUAUUGCCUAUCGUUGCCUAAUUCGAUUGGAUGCUUAUUGAGGUGGUUCCUUAGUGGCCGUAGGAUUAUGGGUUGACACCUCUACAUGCUUGAUGUGUAUGAUUAUUCUCCAUUUCGAAAUUUUCAAUGAUACUUUAAAGUCAAAUUUGAAUGCUCUUUACAAAUGUGUCAAUUUUGGCACAGUUUUCAAGGAUUCAUCAUUUAGUGUUUAUAAUUCAUUUUCGUUUUAAAUUUUCGUUUCCCACAUUUACUUUUCAUGUUUUGUUGCUUUUAUUGUUUUAAAUUUUAUUAUUUUUAUUUUAAUAGGCUUACUUUCCUUGUAUAUCCCCAAUUGUAACUUGGUAUCCGUAUUCUCAACUAAAUCAACAAAUGACACCAAAUAACUUAAAAUUGAGAACUAUAAGAGCUCAAAAGAAGGAGAUUUAGCAGAGUCUCUUAUAGGUUUCAAAAAAGCGAGGAAGGAUCUUCAAGUGGAGAGGACCCUUUCUCCUCCCUAACUCCAAUGGCGAACAAAACUCUAGCAUUAGACCACCUAAAGUCAGACGAUAAGCCAUGCAUUCAUCUCGUGGACUUUAUCUUCUAUUGCGACACCAUCAAGCUACACGGUGUUUCUGUUGAGGUUCACAUCGUGUUCCCCUUGAGUUUCAGCAACCAUCCACUCCAAGCACCUUAAAUCAUCCGUCUUAGUUUCUGCUUGUCCCCAAACACCGUACAUCGCAUGUACUUCGUGAUUUUUCCAUUCUUUGAGGCAUUUAGCUCCUCCUUGUACAUCAUACAGUUAUGAAUAAUGCCUCGACGUUGUUGUGUGCCUGAAAUUGAUAAAAAACACAACGCAACAACAUCAAAUGGACCCCAAACGGGUAUGAGACACUAAAUCGAGAUAGAAGUUACAAAUGCACAAAACAUCAUGUCGUGAAUGUUUCGAUCCGCGACACCGAUGGCUUGAAAUAUUUCAGAGUCGCCACCAAUCUGUUGAAGCGGAUUGGACGCUGUCGACAUAACCCAGGUCCUUUUGGACGUGAGUUAGAACAGGUCUGCGGAACAGAGAUCCUGGAUUCGAGAGGCGGUUACGUGCAGGGAAGGAUUAGCACCCCCAUAGCGCCCGUCAAACCGGUACUACUAAAUUUGAUAAGUUAUGUUUUAUUUUCUUAGUUUAGUGGUUUAAUUAUGCUUUAGUUUGGACGCAUAAGGUUAUGUAAAUUUUUUAGAGAAUAUUUUUAUUCAAUUGUAAGUCUUUAUGAGUUCCCACUCUUGUGGAAAUUUUUUUUUAUGUUGAUAAAUAUUUUGAGUUGAACAUUCUUAAUUUAAUUGUUUGGAUUUACGAAUUCCCAUUCUUGUGGAAAUUUUGUUUUACGCUGGUGAAUAUUUUUAAGUUGGUUAUUUUUAAUUUAUAUGUUUGGACUCAAGUCUUACGACUGCCUACGUACCUAAUUCUUUGGGAUCAAAGAUCAUGUAGUUCGUUAUGGAAAAGUUGAUUUGAGGAUUUUUUGUAAUUUUUACUAUUAUAAAAACCACGUUAUCAUGCUCAUUUUUUAUUUGAAAGACAUUUAUUUGGUUAUUUCAAAGUUGGAACUUUAUUUGCCCACUUAUGAUUAAAUGAUAAUUCUACAAAAUUCGAAACUCUUGUCACGGAUACGAAAUUCAUAUAACAUUGCUAUAAUAUCUUUAAAGGAUUAUUAUUAAGGAAAUUUCACAUUUUUUGCCAAUCGAAAAAUUAAUUGGUUUAUAUCAGUUAACUUAAUUUGACAUAAUUAAAAAUGCAUUACAAGACGGUUAACGAACUUACAUUUAAAUAAAUAUGUCACAAGUAUUUUUGGUGAUUUGACAAUUCUAUUGUGGUUAUGUUAAUGUUAAUUAAAAUGAUACGUUGAUUUGAAUAAUUGUAAAGUUUUGAGUUUUUAAGUUUACAACUUUAAGGUAUAAAUAUCAAAUAGGAUUAAAGAAGGUAUGACGUUUAUUCUGUUAUUCUUCCACACUUAUUUCACUUUUAUUCCACUCUUAAUAUGGCCUUAAUGAUAUAUGAAUAUAAUUGAAUCGACUAAAGGCUUGGCCUUUCUAAAUUAAUUGUGCCCAAGCUCGAGCUCGGCCCAACCGAACGAUGAGCCGAACCGGCGGGUAAGAGGAGGGCAGCCCGCGUGCCAAACUGGUCGAACCGGUUAUCCACGGUUCGAUCAGAAAACUCAAAAAGAUGAAAUUGCCCCUAGCGUUCCGUGCGCUGAAGAAGGGUGGCAGGGGAAAUUUUGUAACUUCACCUUAAACCUAAUCGGCCUUAUAAAAGGGCCUCUUAAAUCGAGAAAUGACUCAUUUGCAACUUCCCACUCUCUCUUUAUCAUCCCUCUUUCUAAACCGCCGCCCUUCUCCCCCCCCCCCCCCCCCCCCCCCCCACCCACCUUUAUCACGGAGUGUGCUGUUUUUUUCUAGUUCCUUUCUCUUCUUCUCAGCCGCCCUUUUUUGCCUCCUCUUACCUCUCAGGACCCCUCUUUCUACCUCCGUUUUUUCGAUUUUUCCAGAUUUGGACUUGCAUGUCAUCGGAGGAUACUCCGGUGAGUCCUCCGGCAAAAUGCAAGUCUCGAUCUGUAGAUCUAAUGUUUUAUUUUGGUAUUAAACAAUUUUGGUUAUUUGAGGGUGGUACCGACGGGGGUGGCGGGGAGGUAGAGAAAUGGAAAAAAGAGAAAGUUAGGUAAGUAAGAUUUCUUCCCUAUUCCUUUUGAUUAAUGUCUGGUUAAUUGCUAACGAAGCUAACUACCGGUUUCUUUGAUGACUUUUUUUAUGUCUUUGAAAAUGGGCAUAGUCGACAUGUUUUGGAAAAUGAGAGGAAAAGGAGAAGAUUGCUUUUAGGAGGUAAGACAGCUAAUUUUGAACCCAUUCUAAUUUUUCUAGGUAGAAGUAACAAUUCUAUUUGUUGAUAAGUUGCAUAAGAAACUAGGUUUGUUUUGUUACUGAAGUUGUAGUAGUAGUCUAGGUGUUUUAAAAAGUUUUGUUUGAAAAACUUUAUUUUUUUUACUAUUGUUUAAAUUUUUUUAGCAACAUUGUUUAUUCCAAAAAUCCGUAUUUUAACUCGAUUUUACUAUGAGUUUCAUAGUUCUUUAGGUCUUUGGUGCGAAAAUGAUGAAAGAUGGCUAUAGGUUUCGUUGUUAAUACUUUCCAAUAACUUUUAGUUCAUUUUUGAAGCUUAUUUGAUUGAUUUGUUGGUUGUUUAUUAAAAUGAAUCAUUUAUUUGAUUAGUUGCAACGAAUCAUUGGGUUCAAUAGUAGUUUAGAAGGUUGCUAAGUGAUAUAGCAUAACAAUGUAUAUGUAUGAAUGAUGUGUGAAUGCUUCAGAAUAGGGAUGUUUUGAAUGAUUACCUUCAUUCAAAAUUUCUCUUUUAUCGUAUUUCAGGUGGCGGCGCCUAUCGUGAGUGACGUCAAACCGAUUUGGCGGCUUCUAUGUGUAUGGCGACAAAAGAUGUUGUAAAACUUAUUUUUUUACAGUUUUGUAAUUAUUUCCCGGGACUUUGAACGAGUGAUGUUGGUGUAUUAUUUUUGGGGGUUUUGGGAAGAACUGGGGGACGAAUUUUGAAAACUGUAAGCUCCUCUUUUUGCUGAUUUUUGUCAGUCCAUUUAAAUGCAGAAAGGGCUACAGUCACUUCUUUUAACCAACCACAUCUUGCAAAGUUUUCUGACAAAAAUAAAAGGUGGCAGCUCCCCAAAUAAUAACCGUAACGGGCCCGAUAUUGGGCUUGAAAUAAGGCCUGGAAUCGGGCCCGAAAUCAAAUUGGGUCUAACACAUAAAUAGUUUCGAGAUAAGGGAUUUUGCCGAAUUUCGAGAUAGCGGACUUGAGGUCCACUCAUUUCGGCCGUUUCCGUUUAAAAAGAUCUAAAACAAAAUCGGCUUAGAACAGUCUGUAACAUAAUAAUUACAUCUCGAAAAUAUGCUAUUUGGCUACCAAGUUCUCCCCUAACGUGCACUUUGAUUAAUUUAACUGAAUAAACUUCGCAACAAGUAAAAUCUCGACGCUAAAUCCUUCCUAGAGAUGCUACGACUAUUUAGUGAAAUGACACUGGCGUGCAUUCUUCACUCGAACGAAAUUUGGUUACUACAGUUGUCCCUCUUUGUAUUACUUUCGCUUGGAAGUGGAAAGUGGUACAAAGACAGAAACCAAAUUUCGGACGAGCGCCUGAACUUCUCACGUCAAGUCCACUAGGGUCCAAGGAUCUGCCACAACAUCGGGUAGAAAACAAAAUUUGCAACCUGACCACACAAACAACAUGCAAUGCAUUUCCCUAUGGGUGUUAGGGUGAAUGUACUAGGGACUCAGCUUGACUUAUCUCCCGUUCCAUGGGUUGACUAUACUAGGGACUCAACUCGACUUAUCUCCUGUUCCAAGGUGCAAUCCGCUUUCCCCAGGAUGCUAAGGGUUGAUGUACUAGGGAUUCGACUAGACUUAUUUCCCGUUCCAACGUGCGAUCCGUUUGCCUUAGGACGCUAAGGGUUGAUGUACUAGGGAUUCAGCUUGCUUAGUUCCCGUUCCAUGACUACAAAUGUGUUGAUGAUGAAUGGUUUCGAAAGAGUUUGAGUAAGGCUCCCCCUUUUUGAAAAAAACAUGCAUCUGAUGGCAAUGCUUGAUUGAUAUUUUUCAUCAUUUUCACUCCGACGAGAUUCACUGUUUUGUUUUCUUGUCGCUUAGUUCGCACUACGUGCUAGCGCAAUGGUGUCAACCCUGCUGAUAGCUGGGUAACCUUUAAUGUAUGUGCCCAUUUUUCUUUGUUUUUCCCCCGACGUCUUCAUAUUAUUCCCAUGCCUUGGGAUUUUAAGGAUCUCUUUCCUACUUUGUCUCUACUUCUAGAUAUAAUGGUAAGAUAACGACGACCUUUGUAAAUUUCUUUCUUCGGUUAGGAAUAAGUGGAGAAAUCCUGCCAUCCGGGCUUCUUUUCUUUAACCCUUCCCUUUUACUAAUUUUUUCAUUCUUUCAACGGUUUUCAUUAUUAUUACUAUUAUUUUUCUCCCUUUUGUCUUCACUUUACCGCUAAUUUCAUUUGAAAAGACCUCCUAAUGAUUAAUUAGAGCGAAGGUGUUUGCACGAACGCAUUUGCCUCAAGUUCCUGUGGGGUGUUGUACCUCAUCCAUUUUGUUUGGUGAUGCGUGAACAAUGGUUAGGAGAGUAGUAUUUGAGAAUUCAUGAAGUAUCCAAAACUUAAAGUUGACUUAAAUUAUCACUUUAUUGAUGGAAAACCGAUCACGUAGAUCUCCGUCAGGAACUUUAAGCAUAGUACUUGUUUACUGAAUAAGAGUUAAAUAGGUAAGGGAGCUUGUCUCCGUCCAUGUUUGCCAGUAUUAAUGCCCCCCUGAGAAAGCCCUUUCCCCUACAUAGGGCCCUUCAUAGUUCGGCUUCCACAUUCCUCUUGGGUCCCCUUGUCAAAUGGAAAUCUUCUUCGUUACCAACUCUCCUUCGCGAAAUUCCCGUGUUUCACUUUUUUUUAAAAGAUCUGAUAAAUCUGCACUGAUACAGGCGUUAGUGGUGGAUAGCUGCCAACCUUUUCUCAUCAAUUUAAUUUAACUGGUCGUAUGCCGCUUUUACCUACUCAACUUGUUCUAACUUCGCCUCCAUGAUAACCCUUAGUGAAGGCAUUUCUACGUCCAUGGGAAGCACUGCCUCCAUCCCAUAGACCAAUUGGUAAGACGUCGAUCCCGUUUAGGUUCUUACUGAUGUUCAGUAACCGUGCUGGGUAAAUGGUAGAAUUACGUGCCAAUCGCGGUCGGUAACGACCAUUUUCUGUAUGCUUUUCUUGAGGUUUAUUGUUUGUCAGCUCGACCGCUCCGUUCAUCUUUGGUCGGUAUGGUACCGAGUUGUGGUGCUUAAUCUUAAACUUGUUGCAAAGCUCAUGCAUCAUCUUGUUGUUGAGAUUUUUCGCAUUGUCGAUUAUUAUUCUUUCCAGGAGCCCAUACUAGCAAAUGAUUUCCUUUUGUAUGAACUUUUUGACAACGCUCUUGGUAGUGUUUGCAUAUGACACAACCUCGACCCAUUUCGUGAAAUAGUCGAUGGCUACUAGGAUGAAACGGUGCCCAUUAGAUGCUUUUGGUUCAAUCAUGCCUAUGACCUCAUGAUGCAAAAGGCCAAGGCGAUGCCAUAAUGUGCAACGAUGAUGGAGACACGUAUUUCUCACCGGCAUAAACCUGGCACUUAUGGCAUUUUCUCACGUGUUUUACAUAGUCAGAGUUCAUCUUCGUCCAAUAGUAACCCAUCCUUAAUAUCUUCUUAGCUAGCGCAUGACCACCGACAUGUGUGCCGCAGACUCCCUCAUGGACUUCUUUUAUUGUUCUCUGAGAUUCAGGGGCAGCUACACAUCUUUGCAGCACAAAAUCAUGGCUUAGUCUGUAGAGGGUAGUCCUAUGAACAUAGUAACCCAUCUCCAAUCUCCGUAGAGUCCUUUUAUCAUUUUCAGAUGCCCUAGCUGCGUACUCCCUUUUAUGUAGGUAGGUCUUUAUGUGAUGGUGCCAGGGAUUCCUCAUGCUCUUUUUGGACUCUACCUAGGUAGGCAGGUGCAUUUUUCUUUUUGAUUUUGCUUCAUGGGUUAACCUCGGUCUCGUCCAGUUUGUACAUCGAGGACAAUGUGGCGAGAGCAUCCGCUAUUUGAUUGUCGACUCGCGAGAUGUGCUCAAACUGUAUCGACUCAAAUUUUGCGGCCAUUUCCCCUAUGUAUUUAUGGAAUGGGACAAGCUUAUGACCCCUAGUUUCCCAUUUUCCUUCAACUUGUAUAUUACUAGCGCUGAAUUACCAUAUGCCUUCAAAUUCUUAAUAACCAUUUCGAGGGCUCCUCGGAUCCUGAAAGUGCACGAUUGGCACUCUGUUAUGUUGUUGGUGCAAUCGAAGCAAAUUUUGGCAGUAAUAGGGCACACCCUCCCUUCAGAAGAGACAGAAACGACGCCGACGCCCUGUCCCAAUGAGUUUGAGGCCCCGUCAAACUUCAUCACCAAUGUUUUUUGGACGAAGCCUUCCACUAAUUUCUCAGUGUUCAGUAUAGUUUCAUCCGGAAAUUCCAUUAACAUCGGAUUCGUGUCCGAGAUUGCAUGCUCCGCUAGAUGUUCUGCCACUACACUCCCUUCAAUGGCCUUCCUUCGGAUAUAAACGAUGACGUAUUCUGCCAGCAGCACUUGCCAUUAGCCUAUCCAUCUGGAGAGGGCCAACUUUUCGUGGACAUCCUUGAUAGGGUUCAUUUUUUAUAUUAGGAGCUUCGUGUGAUAUAACAUGUACUAUCUCAGCCUUAUGGCUACCCAUACAAGUGCUCCGCAAGUUUUCUCGAGCGAUGUAUAUCGAGAUUCGUAGUCAUGAACUUCUUGCUGGUGUAAUAUAUUGGCGCGCUCUUUCCUUCCCGAUUCAACAUGUUGGGCCAACAUCGCGCUUACCAAAUUUUCAAAUACCGUGAAGUACAAUAUUAGUGACCUUCUAGAAGUUGGUGGGGCCAGAACCGGAGGGUUUAAUAAACACCCUUUGACUUUCCGAAAGGCAUGAUGACAACCUUCAUCCCACUCGACAUUCCGGUUCUUCUUUAAAAGCUUGAGAAUGGGUUCACACGUUAAGCUCAAAUGCGAUAUGAACCGACUAAUGUAGUUCAAGCGUCCUAAGAAUCCUAGCACCUCUUUAUGCAUUUAGGGAGGAGGUAUGUCAACCAUUGCCUUCACUUUGUCAGGGUCCACUUCAAUCCCCUUUUGGCUAACCACGAAACCGAGCAGCUUCUCCGAGGUGACUCCGAACGUACACUUUUCUGGGUUCAGCCAGAGCUGGUACUUCCCGAGUCGCUCGAGCAAUUUUCAUAGCACAGUUACGUAGUCGUCUUCCUUUUAUAACUUUGCUAUAAUGCCAUCCAGAUAUACCUAUAUUUCUUUGUGUAUCAUGUCAUGAAACAGUGUGACCAUGGCCCGCUGGUAAGUUGCCCUAGCGUUCUUCAGCCCAAAAGACAUAACUUUAUAGCAAAAGGUUCCCCAUAAAGUGAUGAUGGUCUUUUUUUCUCGAUCAUCCGAAACAUCCUGAUAUGGUUGUAUCUUGAGAAACUGUCCAUGAAAGAGAACAUAUUAGUUGACGGUAUUAUCAACGAGGACAUUUAUGCGAGGCAAAUGGAAGUUGUCCUUUGGGCUUGCCCUAUUUAAAUCUCUGUAGUCUACGCACAUUCUCAUUUUUCCAUUCUUCUUAGGCAUAGGGACCAUAUUAGAGAUCCAAUCGGUGUAUUACGCCACCUGUAAGAACCCGAUUUCGUAUUGUUUCUGCACUUCUUCCUUAAGUUUGAGUAUCCAUUCCGGUUUCAUCCGCCAUAACUUUUGCUUUACUGGCUUGCACUCCUCCUUUAUUGGCAAGUGAUGUGUUACUAUUGUUCAUCGAGGCCCAACAUAUCUUGAUAAGACCUUGCGAAAACGUCCUAGAAGUUCUGGAGUAGUUUGACGAGCCUGUUCUUUUCUGCUUGGUCUAAACUGUCCCCUACCUUAACCUGUCGCCGAUUGUCCUCUGUUCCCAAAUUCACGACCUCUACUGACUCGUAGAAAGGUUUCAAGGAUCGCUCUUCUUAUCCUGCCAUCCAAUCUGUUUCUAGGUUAGAACCAUCACUGGCUUCCUCGGUUUCCAUCUCAUAAACUGGGUGGUGAAAGUCAACUUUAGUGUUUCGUACCUCUUCAUUGUUUUCAAACACAUCUGUAACCCUGUUACGUGACGGGAAAUAGAAAAGGGAAAAAGAAGAAAAGCGGAAGUGAAUAAUAUAGACGAUGCACGGAUUGAGACUUAUGAAAACAUGCUUUAUCAAACAUGUGAAAAUGUGAUACAUGCAUUCAGGAUCACUUAAAAAACACUAGGAAGCCCUUGCUUAUUUUAUUUAGUAGUCAUAUUUUAGAGUUAUUACAUCUGCAAUGGCGAAAGUAACUCCAAAGCCUCCCAAUUGCUUAGCUCUUCCUUUGGACGGAGCUGCCGCACCCAUUUUAUUCCGGUCAUAAUUCCCGUACCCAGCAUGCUGAUGAAGAGAUCUGCAAAAUCCGACUGUAACUCUUUGGUGGUCGGAUCAGUGUAGUUUUUCCUCACAUUUAUCUUUCCAGCAUUCUUGCUUGUGAUGUGAGGUAUGAAAGUCAGGCCUUCAUCAUCUUCUGUCCCACUUAACCUGGACACCCUCCUCCUUAUCCGUUCCUUUUGGAUCCUCCUUAUAUCAUCAUCGUUUAGAAUGUAUCGCAAUCCCGCACGGUUCUUAUUUUCUUUGACCUGGAUGGGUUCUUUCAGCACCUCCUGCCAUUAGUAUCAUAGAUUCCAUACUCGAUAUUAAUCUAACCGAUGUCUCGAGACUAAUUAGAGUUAAUUACCAAGUGCAUUAAUAUAGUACAAUGAUUAAUCUGAAAAUUAAUUCCAAAGCGGAUCGACAUUCCGCCCCUCUCUCAAGUGUAGCGGAGACGACGAUAGACCUUGGCGUUUGGGGAUUUAGUCUCACUUUCGUAUCUAAACCAAAUCCCAACAAUAAUCUUACAACUGGAAUUCGACAAUUACAAAAUAAAGCAGUAGCUAUAUGCAAGAGAAAGACAAUAACGAAAUUAAUGAUAGUUCCGCUUAACACAAUCGAAAUUAUGUCGUAUUAACACAUAAUCAAGGUUUCAUCAAUUUCGGACAGACAGCUUAGUUACACAUGGUGAUCAAAUUAAAAACACAGAAAUCAAGAUAAUACAUGAACCUGGAGCUCCAUGCUUCAUGAACGCUCUGCCGUCGUAAAAUUCAGCAAUGUAGGCGGUCCGAACGGAAGUUCCGAAAUGGAUUUCUUCACCUUCGGAGCUCGAAAUUGCAUGCGGUUUGAAGUGGCAUGUUCCUGGGUUGAAGAAGGACGUCUUGGGGCAGAGUAGGAAGGCUUGCGGGUCUGAUAUGGUGUGUGUAUGGUGUGAUUUCGAAGUGGACAUGACUUGCCCUUAUAUAGGCUCGAAAAAUGGCGUAUUAAGGCCUCCGACAUGGGCAUACCAACUCCAUCAUCUGUAUGCAAGCUGUAGCUGUCCCUGGACUGAUGAUGGACGGAUCUACAUGUGCUGGACGUCCUCAACCAUGCCCGGUUAUCCUUCCGGCGAUCGGUUGAGCGGUGGAUUGUAAAACGGGUCGUAACUUCUUCGUUGCAAAUCUGAUUUAGCUCCGGUUUGUAUCGUUGGAUUUUUAAUUCAUCCCUUUAUAAUACGUGACCUGAAAUUUUAUUAAACACACUAGAAGAAAUAUAAAAUUGGACCAUAAAGGUCCAAGGGUUGAAUUUACGGAAUUAAGUGCAAUAUAACUGAUAUCCGUCGAAACUUUUGUUUGCAAUUGAUAUUAUGACUUGAAGUGUAGAAAGUUUAGUGCCAAAUAUUACGGUAUGUUAUGAUGUGAUCAAAAUACCCCACACUUAAACUUUUCUUGUCGUCAAGAAAACUGUAACUUAACCCACACGAAAUACCAAAGAUAGUUACCAUCAUUUAUACAAGGUUUAGGAAAUGUAAUUUUACAAUUUACGAUGCAACAGAGGUUAAAUGCUUGGCCACAUCGGUGAGAUAAAUCUCUAGUUAGAAAUUCACGAGACAGUGCACACCAGAUUAAUCAAGAUUCAAAUGCUAAAAAUAAAAGGGUUAAAUGCAUUUGUUGCAACUAUAAGAUUCAUUUUGCGCUUCCUUACGAAAUUAUGAAAUUUUAUUUCUUUUUUAAAGUUUCAAAAUUUUGAAUAACCCGUAGCCGAGCAAGACUAGUGAGUACUAUACUCAACCUUUUAACACAUUUCAUUCUUCCCACACACACCUCAAUUAAGUCCCGUAUGGGAGGCAUCUAAACUGGCUGCCUAAUUGGCAGGGCAGCUAAUGCAGAGGUGCUAGUCCUCUACCACACGCGUUAAGUUAAUCAUUGAAUUAUUGAGACAAAUUAAAGAAGCAUUUUGAUUUAAACAUUUUUUUAUG
rnacentral:lncRNA from 1 species